rnacentral:lncRNA from 1 species
UUUUAUUUAUUAUUGUGUCAAAUUACAUGAAGAUAGGAAAGAAAGAUAGAAAAGGAAACACAAAUAUCAGACUUGUUACAUCAGGAAAGGAAUCAGGCUUCCAAUCCUAAUGUUACAUUAAAGAGACAGAAGCAAACUUUGGCAAUGGAAGCCUUAUUCGUAACAUAUUAUGAGACCAUGUUUUGUGAUGAAACUAAGGUGGUUGAUGAUGAUGGUGAACAUGAGAGUGAAGCCUUCUUUAGUUGACAGGCAAAAUUCCUCUAAGACAAGGCCAACCAUCAAGGAUAGGCUUAAUAUAACCCAGAAUAACGUCUUCAGUUGCAUGUGGGGUGAAUUUGAUACGCACAUACUCCUCUCCUUUGAAAAGGUAAGCUUCAGACUCGUCAUGGGAAGCAAAAGACGCAUCAAUUCCACUUUCAAAGAUAGUACCUUUCAAAACAGGAAACCCAUCAGCGAUGUUACGAAUGUUGCCAAGAAGCUCUUUGGAAUCGUAAUCUAUGCGAGUAUACUUAUUGCCUUUGAAUAAGUAAACUUCUUUUCCUUUGGUUGACCUGAAUGCAGAGUCUAUGCCAUUCUCAAACACUGUGCUUUUGAGGACAGGAAACAUUUCAGCAAUUGUGGUAGGACCUAAGAGAAUCUUGUCAUUUGUUGUAGCUGGAGCAUAGUCUAUGUAAGCACAGUAUUUGUUUGAGAACACAUAUGCUUCACUUGCUUCAGUGUCAAAGGAACAGUCAAUUCCAGGUUCUGCAAAGACUGUUGCUGCAAGUGAUGGAAAACCACUACUAAUCAAACGCAGAUUAGUCAAAAUCUCAUCAUCUGUUCUUCCGGGAAUGUACUGCACCCGCACAUACUUAUUCUUUAUGAAGAAAUAGACUUCAUAUUCUCUUGAUGAACGGAAUGCAGCAUUGAUGUAAGCCAUCUUUCUUAACACAAGAGAGAGAUAUAUGAUUUGAUUUGAGGAUGCUUACAUUCCUAUGAAAGACACCUAUUUAUAGUAUUUUUUCCUGUUUGUUUUGGAAAUCCCUUGAAGUAAAGCAUGUAAGAAGUAUGAUCUAACAAACCUUCCUUUAUAGAUGCAACAUGUCCUUUCUGUUGGCAUCAUCUGUUUUUUUUUUUAUUACAUAUUAUUCUAAUAUUAAAUGGAAAACUUGUUUAUUAUUUGCAUUGGAAACUACCAUUAACAUUACAAUUAAUUUUUUUAUAAAAAUAACCUUUUCAAAAUAGAUUUUAAAUUGUCUUUUCGAUUUAUUUAAUGUAAGAAAUAUUGGAAAAUAAGAUUUGAAUAGAGUAGUAACACAAAAAUUAUAUGUCUUAUAUAUAUAAAAAUAAUUAUAUUCAAGUAUAAUUUCUAUAAAAAAAAUUAUAUGUCUUACAUAAUUAAAAAAUUGUGUAAACCAAAUAAAAAUUUCUAUUAUAUAUUAUUAUAGGUAACACAAAUAAACCUUGUGCUGUAUGUGAUUCGAUACACUCAAUAAUGGUCACGAAACGUUGUUUUGAUAAUAAGGUUAAAUAUGUUUUUAUUACAUAAAUGUGUGUUUUAAUUUUAUUUUAUAAUUUGUUUUAUUCUUUUAAAAUCACCAACGUUGUUUUUAUUUUAUUCUUAGUAUUAUGUGAAACAUAUAAUUUUUUUUUUCCAAUCCUUUUUAAAUUAAAAAUAUUACUUUUAAUCUUAGCAUUUUAUGACAUCCCACUAAUAAUUAAUGGGCUAAAUUAAAAGCCAAGUGAUAACAAUUUGAAGUAAAAUACCUAUUACGAAGUAAAUACCUUAUAAUAGAAUGUCAAUAAAAUAUACGUUUGAAUAAAUAAAUAAAUAAAUAAUGUACAUUUUACAGAUCUUAAAUAUUUUUAACAAAACUUUUUAAAAGUUAACAGAAUAAAUUCAGCACAAAAAAUAAGUUAAAUAAAUGAAUAAAAAUAGAAUUUAAUAUGUAUAAAAAUGGUUUAAAUAUAUGCUUUAGUUUUUUUUUUUAAGUUUCUUCUCGGUCUUCAACAUAUAUAGUGUCUUAGAAAAGUUGUAGGAAGGGGAGAUUUCAUAAGUUUUGCGCUAGUGCAAAGACACUCUUAAAGAACAUUUAUAGACAAUGGUGACAAUUUUAAAAAUACAUUCAACAACCUAAAAGUCCCAAAUUGCUGAAACCUCACUCACUCAAAUUACGGUGCAUUUCCGUCUCCUUCAUGCAUUUAUGUUAUUAUCAUGGUUGUCAGCGAUAUCGCUUCUGUUCAAGAUCGUGUUUAGAGAUAUCAUUACUAUUUAUAAUAGCCGUUGUCUUCGUGUUCGCCUCUUGCAGUCGUUGUUCCUACUUGUCGUCGUUGCAUCCCCUGCUAUUCUGCUCGUCGUCAUCAACCGAGCUCAGAUCACUACCAUCUACCACCGUUCACCUUCAACGACACCACUGUAACGGCAUGCAUCUUCAUGGACCUUUGACGCAGCUUCACUAAGGACGAUUUUAAGGUGCUGGUUUUGAGGAAAUUUCUCAUAGAAUAGGUUUUAAGUAGAAAAGAAAAGAGAUUAGGGUUUAAGCAGAAAAGGAAAGUGGGAGCGUCUGCCCCACUAAACCUUUAAGUGUUGUGUUAUCUGAUAGUUUUUUACUACAAUAAUCUCUAUGUUGGCCAAACCUACUUGGAUCAUUAAAAGUGUUGGUCAAUCUUGCAUUUCUCCAACCAACCUAUGAUAUUUCAAAAAUAUUUUAUUACAAUGCGUCCAACGCAACAAAUAUAUUUCAUUUUUUUUUCUUUUCUUCGACUUUGUGCCUAUUGGAGGGGAGUUUAAUUUUUUAAAUCUCUUUUUUGGGUUUGACUGACAAUAAUAGCUUCCAUUUUUAGGUCAGCGCAAAAUUGUGAAGUUAAUUUGUAUUUUUCUUGUAGUGUCAUACUUUGAAGAAAAUGUGAGAUUUUACGUGCAUUUAAUCACCACAUAAUGUUCAUGAUGAUUACAAACUUUUAGAUAUGGAUCGAAAUUGAACUAAUUCACCACACAUAAAUAAUGAAUAUGAGAGAGGAUUAAAAGAAUUUAUACAAUUUAUGCAACGUAAUGUUAAUAAUAUACUGAUGAAGUAAAGUUUAAGUGUCGAUACGUUAAUCGUUUGAAUCUAACUAGACUCUAACUAUGAAUCAACCUAUCUAUAAAAACAUAAUUCCAUUUCUGACAUAAAACUUUAAAGCCAUGAAUGUGGACCUCCUCACUCUACACUUAUUCCUCUAAAUCUCUCAUUUUAAUACAAUAUGAUAUAUACAUGUCAAGUAUGAUUUCAGUUAACAAUAUUUUACAAAUACUAUUUUUCUCAUGUACGAUUUAAACAUAAUUAUUAAUUAAAAUCGUAUGCGUCGUCGGUUUAGCUGGUACUCGUAUCUUGCAUGUACGAUUUUUUUAAAUUUCAAAAACUGUGAACAUGGAUAACCAUAUUUUUAGAAUUAUGUCGUACUCGAUAAACACGAUUUACUCAACUCUGAAAAAAAAAUUGUCCAUUUCAAAAAAUAUGAAAUCAAAUUACAUAAUUUUAGGAAAUAAGCCUAUUUUUUUUCUUCUUUAUAUCAUUUACUUGCCUUACGUAUCAUAGCCUUUAAAAAAAUACACGGGAAUCAAAUCAACCUAUAAACAUCUCUGUAAAUUUUUCAAAGAAAAAAAAAUUAGAAUCAUUUAUUCAACCAAAAAGCACACUUUUAUUAUUAAACCAUUAGCAUUACAUGAAGAAAGGAAAACAAAUAUCCACAUACACGAGAGUAAACACAAACAUCCACACUUAUUACAUUAGGAAAGAAAAGGAAACAAACUUUGGCAAUGGAAGCCUUAUUUUUAUCAUAUUAUGGCAUCUUGUUCUUUUUUUUUCAAAGCUCAUCAUGUUGUUCAGGGUAGGAUGGUUCAUGAUGAGUGUGAGGAUGAGAAUCAACUCCUUUAUUGUCGAGAGGCAGAAUGCCUCUAAGAAUUGGCCAACCAUUAAGGAUGAGCUUCACAACAUCCACAAGAGUGUCACCUGUAGUACCUGGGGUGAAAUUGAUCCGUACAUAGUUUUCUCCCUUGUAAAGAUAAGCUUGGUUCUCCUUAUGAGAAGCGAAACACGCAUCAAUUCCAUUUUCAAAGAUGGUACCUUUCAAAAUUGGAAAUCCAUCCGUGAUAUUACGAAUGGUGCCAAUAAGUUGCUUGGAAUCAUAGGCUAUGCGACCAUACUUAUUGCCCUUGAAUAAGUAAACUUCUUUUCCUCUGGUUGACCUGAAUGCAGAGUCUAUGCCAUUUUCAAACACCGUGUUUUUCAGGACGGAAAACAUUUUAGCAAUUGUGGUAGGACCUGAGAGAAUCUUGUCAUUCAUUGUACCUGGAGCAUAGUCUAUGUAGGCACAAAGUUUGGUACAAAAAAUAUAUGCUUCGUUGCCUUCAGUGUUGAAGGCACAAUCUAUUCCAUAUUCUCCAAAUGGCGUAUCCUCAAGUGAUGGAUAACCAUCACAAAUCCAACGCAAAUCAGUUAAAAUCUUAUCAUCUGUUUUUUCGGGAGUGUAAUACACCCGCACAUACUUAUUUUUUAAGAAAAAAUAAACUUCAUAUGCUCUCGAUGAACGAAAUGUAGAAUUUAUAUAACUUGGUAUCUCUAGAACUGAACUAGUAUACCACUCAAGAGCAACAUCCCGUCAGCAUUCAAGGCCUCUCUUUUCUCUCUCCUAGGCGGAUAAGUUUCUUCGGGUAGGUCUCUUCUUACACCAUUAUCAUCUGUGUAGUAGUACACCGGAAUAUAAAUUGUUAGUGCAAAGUAAGGAUGUGAGAUUGGAUUAAAAUUCCUGUUUAUUAUCAAUCUUGUUUCUCUAUGUUAUACGUGGAUACCUGCAUCAUAAUAUAAUAGUUUAUAGUUAGUAAUUGAUGAUAUGAGGGGAUUAUAAAAAUAAUAUAGCAUGAGAUGUAAUCCAACCUUGAUCCGACUUCACGUGUUGCUGUGAAUAUGAGACAAGAUCGAAUGUACUGAGGUGCAAUGCCUCCAACAUAGCAAACUUCAUCUUGAGAAAUGUAUGUGUAUCGAUUCCAAAGGGUCAUACCAACCCAAAUACCACCAGGAGCAUAAAUUUCAUAACGAUAAAAUUGAAUCCGAGAACCUUCUGGGAGGACUCGGGGGGAAGGAUUUGGUCGCCAAGCAUUGUUGAGAGUGGUACUCACAAAGACAUGUCUUGAAGUUGAAGGUCGAGCUGGAUCAAGAGGAGCACCUGCCUGUUCAAUGAAGUUAAGCAAAUUAUAAUAAGUGGAGUUGGGAAUUUGACCCUGAGACCAUGCUUGGAAGCCAUUUGCAAAGAUCUCCUGGUAGGGCCUUGUGUCCCAAUGAUGCACAGGCGCACGGAUAUCAUAAUUUUCGUCGGCCGUUCUGUAUGUAAUUUCUGUCAAGUUUCCUUCCACAACAUUCACACGGUUGAUAUUAUCCAUCAAAUUUCGACCUCUAUCAAAAUCUCCUUCUCCCAGAGGCUGUGGAAAUUUUGAUGAACAACCUCUGGAUGGAUCAUUUGGUGGAGGGAUAGACAUUUUCUUAACAAAGCUUAGAAAAGGAUGGAUAAGGUAUAGAUAGAUAGAGAUAUAUGAGUUGAUUUGAUGGUUAGAUUCCUAAGAGAUGCACCUAUUUAUAGUAUUAUGGAGUGGGAAGUUCUUACCUUUGUUUCAACGUAAAGCAAUUGAUAAAUGUGAUCUAACAAGUAAAACCUAACCAGCCUUACAUAUUAUUCUAAUACUAAUGGCAAAGGUUUUAAAAUGUUUUGAUGUUUUAAAUGGUUGUUGAGAGUGUGGCACUUGAGGAUAAGAACGGUUUGUCAUCACAUAAACAAAUGUUAUGAGCUUGCUGGGUUCCAAUAUUAUGUCAGUUCCAAUACAUUAAUACAGAGAUUACUGUGUUAUUUAAACCGUCUGCUGAUGAAGAAAUCACAGAAAUACAUUAAUAUUAUCUCAUUUAGUAUAAAUGUAUUUUUAUUCUUUUCAAAUUUAAUAUUAAACCAACUCAAACACUUUAUAUAGUAAAAGAAAUAAAAUUUAAAAUAAAUUUAUGUAUUACUCGUUAAAAAAAUUAAAAUUCAUGUUGUUUUAUAAUCUAUUAGCAUCCCAUAUUGAGUCACACUUUAAUUUGGAAACUACUUUUUCAUUUUCAUGUAAUAUCAAUAAGUUGCUACAUUCACAAUAUCAUAACAUAUUUUAGUUUGUAAUAUAUAUAUAUAUAUAUAUAUAUAUAUAUAUAUAUAUAUAUAUAUAAUAAUANNNNNNNNNNNNNNNNNNNNNNNNNNNNNNNNNNNNNNNNNNNNNNNNNNNNNNNNNNNNNNNNNNNNNNNNNNNNNNNNNNNNNNNNNNNNNNNNNNNNCGUGUCGUCGUCGUCGAGUCUACAGUAGUUAGUAUAUAUAUAUAUAUAUAUAUAUAUAUAUAUAUAUAUUCUAUAUUAUAAUAUAAAAAUUUAGAUAAAGAAUAUUAAUACUUUUAUUUCAAGUUCAAAGUUUAAAUAAUUUUAAAUCAAAACAUUGGAGUUGAAUUCAUUGUUCAUAUUGUAUAAGUUCUAAUUAGUUUUCUGAAUUUUAACUAAUAUAUAUUAUCUAAUUUUUAGAGUUGGUAUAUUUUUCAAUUGAUUUUAACUAUCAGAAGUAGAUAUCAUCAUAGUUUUAUUUUUUUCUUACUAAAUUUUUUCACAGUUUUAUUGUAUAUAUUUGCUAAUCAUUAAUAGGUCUUCUAGAUAAAUUACAUUACUCUUAUUAGACAACAUCAGUUGUUCUUGUAAUCAUUGUAAUCAUGCUUGAAGGAAACUAAAGAGGAUGGCAAUGUAAGGUUAUAAGCAGGAUGAUAGAGAAGUUACUCUUUUUUUUUUUAUCUUAAACUGAUACGUUAAGGAUGUUCGAACACUUUUAUAAGCCUAAAUACAAGAAUUGUGUCAAAAAAAAAUCUUUUAAUGCAGUUUAAAUAUGGCUCAACUAGCUGUAAAAAAUUAAGCAAUACAUUUCUUCAAGAUUAAGCUCAUAAAGUUACCUAUUGCUCGAAAAACUAUUUUUUUUAUCUGCAAUAAAAUAAAUAAUAAAUAGAUAUGUAUCACUUUAAAGAUGAGUCAACCCUUAUACAAAAUAAAUAAAAGAUAAUAAACUCUUAUUUCUUAACUUAAACCAAUCUUUCAACAAAAACUGUCAACUAAUCCAAAAUCCAAUAAUAUCGUCUAGUCAUUUUUAACAAUCGUCAGAAUAUACAAACACAUUGUUUGAAGGACAUAAUUUGGAUUGAGAAUAAAAAGGUUGAGAAGUGAUCAUUUGGUGUGAAAGGAUAAAAAAUAUAAAGAUCCCCUCAUUCUAUUUGUUAGAGAAAUAUUGGAUUUGAGUUUUAAGCUUAGCAUUUCUUUGCUUUAAACCUAUAAUUCAUAUAUAUGUAUAUACUAUUUUUUUUUUUUUACAAAAUAUUAUGUGUAAAAUUAAAAAAAAAAUUAAAAAUGGAGAUUAGCUCUCUAACACAUAAAUGGAGAAUUUGUUUAGAUAGUAGGGUAAAUUCGCAUGGCAAUAAAAAAAAACCUCAAAACACUCUUCUACGAACCAUGGUUAUAUAUAAUUUAAUCAAUAUAGUUUCUAAUUAUUAUUUUUUUCUCUAAAUCCAAUCACUAAUGAUUUUUUUUAAGUAAUUAUCUAAUUAAUCGAUAUUAAGAUGAGAUGAUACAAAUAUUUUUAAGAAAAUAAAGAAGUUGUCAUCAUACUUAAAGAAAAUUAUGAAAAUAAAAUAUAAAAAAAAUACACUAUCUUUAAAAUUAAAUUUGGGUCCUAAUAAAAUAAGUUAUUCAUACAAAGUAUAUUAGCGUCAUAAAAUUUGUCCUAAAACAAUUAUCUUUAACUAGAUUUAGAAAAUUAAAUUAUUUUUAAAAUGUUUAUUUUUACCUAAAAAAAACAAAAACAAAGUAUUUAUUUAUUAUUUACACCAGAGAAAUAUUAUCAAUUACUUACAGAAUUAUAGUGUCGAUUGCAUAACCAACACAAAUGUCACUUAAGUCUAUUUUAACUUUAAACUAGAAUAAAAUUAUUUAAUAUCACUAAAGUUAAUCAAUUAAGUUGAAAUGUAUUAUUUAAUUUUAAAAUUUAAUAAAAGUUAGUGUGAAUUAAGUUGAUGUUAGUCUAACUUAUUUUUAACACUUAUUUAAGUAGUGCUGUUUAGGUCAACACUAAUGUAGUUUAUUUUAAUGCUUAUUAGAACUAGUUGGCCUAGUCAAUUCUAAUUUCAUUUUAUUUUAAUACUUAUAUUUUUAUAAUCAGUUCUGGAUUAGUUGACACUAAACUAAUUUAUUUUUAAUAUUUAUUUAACUAUGUCAAUACUAAUAUAAUCUAUUUUUAAUAGUUAUUAAAUUUAGUAUUAGUCUAGUCAAUAUACUACCAUAAGUUAAUUCCACGUUAAUAUUAUUUAUUGUUAAUAUUUAUUUAUUGUUAAUUUAAAACAAGUUUAGGUGAAUAUCUGCACAUGUAAAGAACCUCAAACAGGCUGCAUAUAAACAACCUCAAACAUUAAAUAUUAUUGAGACUCUACACAAAAUACUUUUAUAAUUAAUACUAAGUGGUUCCUGAUGUGGAUGAAAGUCAACUUUUCAUUAACUAACACACAAAAUGCCUUUAACAACUUUUAGAAAGUUUAUUACUAAACAAUUAUUAAAUAAAAAUUAAUUUUUAGAAAAUAAUAACUAAUUUUUUAUUAAUUAAAUUAGAAACUAUUCAAAACACUAAAAAUUUAUUUAUAUAUUUUUAAAUUUAUAAACUAGUUUAUAAAUUGGUAUCUAAUUAGCUAUUAAAGUUUUAUUUAUCAAUUAUUUUAGAUACUAAUUUAGAAACUAAUUUACAUAUCAAUAAUUUUUUAAUAUUUAAAAUAGUUUAUAAUUUAGUUAAUAUAGUAACUAGUUAUUUUUUGUCUUAAAAUUAAUUUUUAUGAUUUUUUUUUAUGAUAUCAAUACUUAUUUUAGUCUAUUUUUUUUUUAAAUUGAUCUCUAUUUAAGGAUAUUCUUUUCUAAUAGUGUAGAAAAUAAUAAAAUUUCCAAACUUAAUAUUUUUCCCGUAAAAGAAGAUUGAGUGCUUUGAAUGUUAUUUUUUAUCAACAAAAAAGAAUAAAUAAAUAUGACUCACUUAAGAGUAGAUGAUUCAACCCUUAUACAGAUAAAGACUAACACUCCUCUCUCCAACCAUAAGAAACCCCUCACUACCAACAUUAAUAGAAUAAAAAUUCUGUCAUGUCCAGCUGUCACUAAAGCUAACUCCCCACUAAACACCUCACACCGUCCUUUUAAUCGAAAUCAUAUAUACUUUUGGUUUUAAGCAUCAAUCUAUGAAGGAAAAACUCGUUAAAGACGUCUUUGAAGAGAUUCAAGACUAAAUCUUUAAGCAAAUAAUUACUUUUAUGUUUCCAAAUCACCGCUAAAACAGCGAAAGGUUAUUUGUUGAAUGAAUUUUUUUUUAUCAACAAAAAAUUAAAUUAAAUUAACAGAAACACUUUAGAAGUGUCACACUCCUUUAACCAACACAAACAAAGAUAAGCAGCUCAAGUAAUUGAAUUGCACCUUGCUGCAGAAUUAUGCAGCAUAACUGCAAAAGAUGAGCACCUGAACUGCAUAAAACUGCAGCAAUUCUGCACCUCCCUUUCUUAUAUGUGCCUUUGAUCAAAGGAGCUACAUGAUUACCUAUAUACCUUACACAAUCCAGCUAAAGAUGCUGCAUAAAAAACAGCUCCUCACACCUUGGCCAUUUGUUGAAUGUAAUGCAAGAAAAGGAAGGAAAAAGUUGAGAAUCUGGAAUCGGAAUGCAGACUGUGCAGUUCUAAUGCAAAGUCUUGCUCCUCUGCGGCAGCAGAAAUUUUGUUCCAAUGGUUUCCUUAUUGGACCUCGAUCAACAUUUGAAUCUAGGACAAAACUAUGCAGAAUCAGGUGCAACAGACAAGAUAAGGCUGUACAGUUGUAGGAACAAGGUUAAUAGGUAAUUUUGGAAUAAGCAGGAUAAGGCUUUCUUUUGCUAUAUGUUCUCUUAGUCUUGGUCUUAACCAAUUUGGUAGCUGUUUUUUAUUUCUGGAAUAGUUUGAUACCUUUGAAGUGUCUUUUUAAUUCAUUUAUUCUUUGUUGAAAAAAAGAUUCCUCCAAUCCAGAUAUUACCCAUUAUAAGAUUAACAAACAUAGGCACAUCAAUAAAAAUGAACUGCAAGAAAUGUAAGACAGGCAUAAGAUGAUUUACCGAUCUCACUCUUAAUCACUUGUAGCAAAGAUUCCAAACUAGCUAGCUAGGAUACCCUGUACCGAAAAAACAAAUGACUAGUCAGACUCCUCUGAAAUCUCCACACAAACAACAAAGGUUGCUCUCGAUAAAAAAAUCAUGUCUCUCCAAGUUACCCUAGUAGCUUAAAGAUUAACAUUACAAGAUGUUUUAAAUUUUUUGAACACAGUACUAUUCAUAAAACAUGAAUGAAUGAUCACAUUAAUCCCUAAAAAGAAGAGUGGUUGAAAGGAGGUGAUGUAUGUAUAAUUUGGGGAAGCUAAUAUUGAUGUAAUUUAUUUAUUUAUUUAACUAAGUUUAGAAAAAAAAAACAAUUAGUGAAGUUUAAUAGGUUAUUUCAAGUUUAAAUUCUGAAUAGGAAUUUGUGUUACAUAUUUAGAAAGAGAGUUUAUGAUUCAUAUUGAUUUUAUUCAAUUCAAUCACAAUUAUCUUUCAUAAAUUACGGGUCUAGGGAAUAAAGUCAAGCAUUUUGUUAGUUGCUGGUUAAGUUUUUAUGCAGGUUGUGCUCAAGAACCCUAGACCACCAUAUUUACAGGACUGCUAUGUGCUUUUGAUUUUUUUCGGUCGUCUUGCUGUUUUAUUCAAUUUUGAUGUUUGUAAUACUCAUCUAAUUUUGUAAUUUAGAUGGUGAAGUUUUUUUUAUUUGUAUAAUAAGAGUUAAAAAACUUUUAAAAUGUUUAUUUUUAAUUCAUUGAUUAAUUAUUUGUUGAUAAUAAAAAUCUUUCAUAAAUUGUGGUUUUGAGAAACAUAAUUGUACAUCACAAAAACCCUAGUUUAUUUAUUUGAACAUUUUUUUUAUCAGCAAUAAAAAAUAAAUAAAUGGGAACCACUUCAGGGGUGGUCCAACCCUUAUACAUAAAUAGCUAUCGCCUUACCAACCUCCAACUAAGGAACACCUUCCAACUAAAUAAGGAACAACCAAAGCAACUCAAGAAAGCAUUAAACAACCAGCCUCAUACAAUCCACUGGGUACAAAACCCAGUUGGAAUACGUAAAGGAAUUACAACAUAACUUUGCAAAAAUCCAAGACCAAACAUUUACCUGAACUAGUGCAAAUACCUCGAGCGCAUCUACCACGCCCCUGUCGAAGGUCACCGAGUUCCUAUGUCUCCAAAUUCCACUCACAACACCAACCCAAAUCGCCCCCCAAACGUCAUUAACCACAUCAGAAGCCGAACACAACCUGAAUUGUUGGAAGUUUACCAAAGGGUCCUUGUGAAAAACAAACGACACUCCAAGCCACUCAAAACAAAGACACCACACCCGCCAGGUAAACUCGCAGACAAAAAACAUUUUAAACAUCAAAAGUCACAGUAUAUGAUUAUUGAGUCUUCCCGAGUUGUAACAAAUAUUAGACGCAUUUAUACUAAAAUUAAGUCGUAAAAAUAAUAUUUAUGGAAUUAGUAGAGUAAAUAUGAUUGUACUAAACCAAACCAGAACAGUUUUAUUUAUUAUUAAGAUUACGAACAUAGGAGAGAAAAAGAUUGACUUGAAGGAAAGGAAACAGAAACAUGCAGAGUUGUUACAUUAGGAAAUGAAAGAAGCAUCGAAUCUUAAUGUUACAUUAAAGAGAAAGAAACGAACUUUGACAAUAGCAGCCUUAUUUGUAGCAUUUAUGAGAUGAGAGUGAAGCCUUCUUUAGCUGACAGGAAGAAUGCCUCUAAGACAUGUCCAAGCAUCAAGGAUAGGCCUCACUCCACCUAAAAGAGUGUCAUUACUUGAACCUGGAGUGAAUUUGAUCCACACAUACUUAUCUCCUUUGAAAAGAUAAGCUUCAGAAUUCUCAUGGCAAGCAAAACACGCAUCAAUUCCACUUUCGAAGAUCGUACCUUUCAGAAUAGUAAACCCAUCAGCGAUGUUACGAAUGCUGCCAAUAAGCUGUUUGGAAUCAUAGUCUAUGCGAGUAUACUUAUUGCCCUUGAACAAGUAAACCUCUUUUCCUCUGGUUGACCUGAAUGCAGAGUCUAUGCCAUUCUCAAACACUGUGUUUUUGAGAACGGGAAACAUCUUAGCAAUUGUGGUAGGACCUGAGAGAAUCUUGUCAUUUGAUGAACCUGGAGCAUAGUCUAUGUAGGCACAGUAUUUGGUUGAGAACACAUAUGCUUCACUCGCUUCAGUGUCAAAGGCACAGUCAAUUCCAGGUUCUGCAAAGAACGUUGCUUCAAGUGCUGGAAAAUUAGUACUAAUCAAGCAUAGAUUAGUCAAAAUCGUAUCAUUUGAACUUCCUGGAGUGUAAUGCAGUCGCACAUACUUAUUCUUCAUGAAGAAAUACACUUCAUUUUUUCUUGAUGAACGAAUUGCAGCAUUGAUGUAAGCCAUUUUUCUUCACACAAGAAAUAGAAAUAGAGGAUAUAAGAGAGAGAUAUGAGUUGAUUUGAGGAUGGUUAGAUUCAUAUUAGAGACACCUAUUUAUAGUGUUAUGAGAAACUACCAUGAAUAGACUGAUUUCUGAAUGUGCCAUUUUGUGAUCACAUAAACAAAUGUUUAUGAGCUUGGUGGGGUUCUACACUAAUAAAUGCUAUAGGUUUUAUCUGUAACCGUCCCACAUGAAAAAGUCUAUGUAUAUGGGUUGGUCUAUUCUUAAAUAAAUCAUAUAUUUAUAUUUAUUAUUAUUUUUUGAUAAAAAAAAACUUAUUUCUAAUUAAUUAAUAGAUUAUUGUGUUAUUUAAACCCUGUGCUGUUUACCUCAUCACAUAAACUCAACAAGUUUUUCAUAUCAUAGGAUAUUUUAAUUUACAAUAUAUAAAUAUAUGUUAAUUUAAAAGAUGAGUGUUUAAAUAGGUUUGAUAGGUUAUAAAAUUAUAGAAGAGAUUGGUACACGUAAACUCAAUAAACAACUCAACUAUGUGCUCAUUCAAUAUGAUAUGUUAAUCAGUAACGUGUAAUAAUUUAUGCAAGAUAAUAUUAUAUAUAAAACUAUUCAAAGAAAUAAUCUAAUUAAUAUGUGUUUUUAGGAGACAAAGUGUAUAUUUUCCCGUGCUGUGCGUUUACAUUAGUUAUUAUUUUUAAUUUAUUAUUAUUAUUAAAAAAAUAAAUUAAAUAAAAAUAAAUUUUAGAGAUUAAAAUAAUUAAUUAAUAUUUUCACUAAUAUAGUAAUUUUCUAAUUGGCAUGUGCAUCUUUUAUAAAUUAUGCAUAAGAACAUUUUGUAUCCUAUAGCAUAUUUGCAUAAAUGUCUUCAAAGUAUUUACGAUAUUUGCAUAAUUAAUAUUUACGAUAUUAAUUAAUAUUUUGGUAGUUAAAAACAACUAGAAUAAAGUAUAGAUAAAAAAUUAAAACUACGAUGACAAUGGGUUGUAUGGGUAGUUGACAACUAUCUGUUUACAAAUAAAUACAAUUAUUACAAUCAAGAUAUUUUUUAAUUGUUUUAUAUAUUUAUUAUAAAAAAAAUUAUUAAAUAAAAACUAAAUUUAAAUACCAAAAUAAUUAAUUAAAUUAAAAACUAUUUUAUAAAUUAAAAAUUAUUUUAUAAAAUUAAAAAUUUAUUGAUAUUCAAAAUAAUUUCACUAUUAAUCAAAACUUAUAAAGUAGUUUAUAAGUUAGUAUAUAACCAUUAACUACCAAAAUUUUAACUACUAAAUAUUUUAUAUUCUAAAUUAGUCUCUAUUAAUACUUUAGAGAUUAAUUUAGAAUCUAAAAUAUUAAUAGUUAAAACAUGAGAACUAAUUUAGAUAUUAAUUUAAAAAUUAUUUUAUAUAUUUUUAUUAAUAAUAUAAAUCAUUUUGGAUAUUAAUAUUUUUUACUCUCUAAAUUUAAUUGUUAUUUAAUGAUUUUUUUAGUAAUUUAAUAACAAUUUUUUUUUUUACAAAAAAUUAUCAGAAAAUAUCAAUAACUCUCUAAAUAAUAGCAUAAAAAUGUAACAUUAUUAAAAUCGACCAAAUAAACUUUAACACGAACUAAAAGAUUAACUUUUUUUAAUAAAUGUAAAAUUAUUUUUAAAUAGUUUUAUAUUAUGUAAAGUGUGUAUCGGAUAAGUUGGUGCUUAGAGCCAACUUAACUAAUAAUGAGUUGACAUUAAUUUUUUAAAAACAAGUAAAAAUAUUUGUAUUUGUAUCAAAUUAACAUAGUAAACUAACUAACGUUGACUUGAAUUAAUAUUAAAACUAUCAAACACUAAAUUAAAUAAUUUAUAAAAUAAAAAAUAAGUCAAUUUAGUUGAAAAUAAUUGUUUUAAUUAAAAAUUAAUUAAAAAAUUAGUGUUAGUGUUUUCUUAACAUAUACUAUUUAAAGUAGUAAAAGUUGACACUAUUGAACUAACAUCGAUAUUUUAGAGUGGGUUACAUAUUCAAUACAAAUUUGAUACUAUUAACUAAUUAACCUUAACUUUUAGUUAUUAGAAUUGAUUUUUACAUAAGUUAAAUUUAUAUUUUCUUGUAGUUAUUUGGGUUAUAUACAUUAUUAUUUUUAUUGAAAUCAACUCUAUGUUUUGGGGUUUGAACUUUCACAAGAAUUAUAUUUUCUAAUUUGGUAUAGAGUGUGCUUACCUCCAACACAUUUUUUUAGUGAAUUCUGAACAUGGUGUCACCACUUUUGUAGGUGAAAUUCUGAUAUAAUAAUAAUACUUGCCAUUUUUCAAUGAAGAUCCUAAUUGGUUCAAAGUGUUCAUACUAUAUAAAUAAUCAAAUAUCAAUAUCCUAGACAUAUAGAACUACAUUCUAUACUCAAUAAACAACUCAAUUAUGUGCUCCUUGCGUUUACAUUAUAUAUUAUUUUUUAAUUUUUCGUGGAUCUCAACAAAACCUUAUUAAAGAAGGCAAAUCACAAGAUGGUCAAUUACUUUAAAUAUUAUUUACAUAAGAUAAUAAUUUUAUAAUUGAUAUAUUUUUUUAUGAUUAAGAAAAAAUAAAUAAAUGUGAAUCAUUUAAGGAUGACCAUGCCCUUAUAAAAAAAAUUCUUAAUUUUUUCUAAACAAAUCAAAAUUCUCCAACAGACACUUAAAAACACACCUAACAAAAUUCAGAAAAAUUCGGCUAUUGUGCUAACCACCUUAAAACAUUCAUAAAAAAUCAAUCUAUACAAACUAAAGAAUUGAGACACCAAUUAUAAAAAAAAAAAUUGAUGUAUUUUUUCUAUGGUAAAUUUUUUAAAAUGUCUUUAUUGUUAAUUAUAACAUUUAAUGAUAUUAAUUCAUCCUUUGGUAGUUAAAAACAGUCAGAAUAAAGAGUAUUCGUAAAAUUCACUGUUUAAAAGUAAAUAGAAUUAUUACAUCAAUCUAUUGCUUAAUUGUUUCUUAUAUUUAAGAACAUAAUUAUUGUUUUCUAAUUUUAACAUUUUUUUACUAAAAUUAUCAUAAUUCAUAUUAUAAGAAAAUAUUAAAUAUUAGUUUCUACAUAGUAACGUCACUUAAAAUGAAGUAUUAUUAAAAUCGACUAAGUCAAAUUUAACAUGUAAAAUAUAUAUUUUUUUAAAAUUAAAAGAAUAUAAAAUCAUUUUUAAAUAUAAUUUUAUAUCAUGUAAAGUGUAUAGAUCAAUCUCAUGUUGUUCAAAUAUAAUAAUAGGGUUGACUUAGUUAAUUUUGAGUUGAUCUUAAAUUCUUUUAACAAGUAAAAGUAUUUGUAUUAGUAUAAAAUUAAUAACAAAUUAACUAAUGUGAAAUUAAAUAAAUCUUAAAAAUAAAGUAAUAUUAAAAAUAGAUUUAGUAUCUACCUUUCCAUUUUUCAAGUCUAGAUUUAAUUUUUUAAAGCACAUCAUUCCAAAAAGGCUUACAUCUUAUGACACUCUCUACCGACAUACCCAAAUAUUUGAAAGGUGUUUUCAUCGCAUCACAAUUAAUAAUAGCAGCAAAACCUUUUAACUGCAAACAAAUCAAUCACCACUCCUUUACCGCUACUUCUCAAGAAAUUCACUUUUAAAUCAUAUACAAACUCAAAACAGCUUAAAAUAACCUUAAUGAUAAACACACUUUUAAUAUUUGCCUGACAGUAAAACAAUGUAUUAUCUGUAUAUUGGAGCAUAUUAACCCUGACAUUCUUGCUUCCAACUUCUAAACUCUCUAAAAAAUCGGUCUCGUCAGCUUUUCUAGAAACCUCAGCCAAUCCUUCGACCGUUAUAAGAAACAAAACAGGGCAAGAGGAUCACCUUGUCUCAAACGUUUCUAAUGAGAGAAUUCCUUAAUCAGAAUCCGAUUAACGAGAACAAAAACUGUAACAGAUUCUAGACCAACUUUAAUUUACAAAAUCCACUAUCACAAAAUCUCAAUCUGCAUAACAUGUAAUAAAUAAACUCACACUUCACAUAAUCAUAUGUUUUCUCAUAGUCCACCUUAAAAAAUACACAAGACUUCUUCUUCCUCUUUACUUCCUCUAGUACCUAUUUAUAUAUUUUCUACCCGACCUUCAAGGAAUCAGACAAAGUUAACUAAGAACACAUUUUAUAGUGUUUUACAUUUAACUAAAAGAAUCUAAGAAGAAAUAUGAGAUAAAUAUAGUAAAUAUAAAACCUCAAUUGUCCCACAAACAAUAUGCAAACUUUACAAUAACAUAAUAAAAUGAGAAUUCGAUGUUUUUCAAUACUAAAAAAAAUAUGAGAUUAAAAAUCAUUAAAAAUUAAAAAAAAAAUAACAACAUUGUAAAGUAGUUUUACAAUAUAUUUACUCAUAUAAUCAUGGUCGAAUCACCAUUAUAAACAUCUUUUAAAAGAAUAUAGUUUUGAAGUAUAUUUUGUUAUUUUUUAUAAAACUAUUUUUUUUCUCAAUUAAUCUUUGUUCAUCUAAUGCAGACUUUUACAGUACAUAUCAUAAAAAAAAUAACCAGUAGCAGCGUGGAUUCUUUUAUAUACAUAUAUAUAUAUAUAUAUAUAUAAAGUGCAAUAAAUUUCUUAAAAAUACAUGGUUAAGAUAAAAUUCUGUUUUGAACUUUCUAUUUCAAUUUUUUAUUAAUAUAAAGUAUACGCACAAAAUAAAAUAAUAAAUACCAUUAUAAAAUAAAAAAUAUAUUGAAAGAUAAAAGUUGGAAAUGUCUGAAUUCGAAAAUGAAAAGAAAUAGAAAGCACAGAAGAAAACGUGUUGAAAUUAAUAGCUUAUCCGAGGACCACACGUAUGAACAAGCACACUAAAAAAAUAAUGUUUGGGACCAUAGUUUAGUCCUCUAUGAAAAAUUUCAAAAUUGGUCCCAAACAAACACAACACGAAUAUAGUAUAUAUGAAAAAUCUGAAAAUAUACUCACAUGUGUAUUCUAGAAAUUACAUCAACAUACUUACUUGUAUUCUAAUUACAACAAUUAUGAUAUUAAUUAAUACUUUGAUAGUUAAAAACAAUCAUAUUAGUUCUACUUCAAGUUUACAGCAGGGCUUUAUUAUACAGGUUCUUAACAUUGAUUAGUGAGAUUUAGAGAUACAUAAAUAAUUGUUAAUUUAAAAGAGGUGUGGUUGAUGAAGUUUUUUCUUAAGGUUUGGUCAAUAAAUUUCUCGUUUUUUAACUGGUGUCUAGAACCUUUGGUAUGUAUGUAUUUGAUUUAAUGAUUUUUCUUUAGUUGGUAGUGUUGGGAAAGGCAGUAAGAAAUUUUUUUAUGAGAUUUAGAUGCGUAUGCAAAAAUGUACUUUUGUUUUUUCUUACUUUGUAGGAGAGUCGUAACACCCUUAAGUGGACCUAUUUAAUUUAAUUGUUUAUUACUGAUAAUUUUUAUUUUUUUUUGGUUUAUAUAUGCUUCGGAGGAGUUUGGAAGUUUAAAAUACACAUAUAUAUUCAACCAAACCACAAAGUUCUUAUUUAUAAUAUGAAAAUUGGAAAGACAUACAUUAGGAAAAGAAAAGAGACAUUCAAUCCUAAUGUUACAUAUUAAAGAGAAAGAAACAAACUUUGACAAUAGCAACCUUAUUUGUAGCAUAUUAUGAGACUAAGGUGGUUGAUGAGAGUGAACCUUUCUUUAGCUCACAGGCAAAAUGCCUUUAAGACUUGGCCAACCAUCAACUAUUGGCCUCACUUCACCCAUAAGUUUGUCAUCAUAUGUACCUGGACUGAAUUUGAUACGUGCAUACUUAUCUCCUUUGAAAAGGUAAGCUUCAGAUUCCUCAUGGGAAGCAAAACAUGCAUCAAUUCCACUUUCAAAGAUUGUAUUUUUCAAAAUAGGAAAUCCAUCACCGAUGUUACGAAUGGUGCCAACAAGCUGCUUGGAAUCAUAGUCUAUGCGAACAUACUUAUUUCCCUUGAAUAUGUAAACUUCUUUUCCUCUGGUUGACCUGAAUGCAGAGUCUAUGCCAUUCUCAAACACCGUGUUUUUGAGGACGGGAAACAUUUGAGCAAUUGUGGUAGGACCUGAGAGAAUCUUGUCAUUUGUUGUGCCUGGAGCAUAGUCUAUGUAGACACAGUAUUUGGUUGAGAACACAUAUGCUUUACUCUCUUCGGUGUCAAAGGAACAGUCUAUUCCAGGUUCUGCAAAGAACGAUGCUGUAAGUGAUGGAAAACCACUACUAAUCAAACGCAGAUUAGUCAAAAUCUUAUCAUCUGAUUUUCCUGGAGUGUAAUACAGCCGCACAUACUUAUCCUUCAUGAAGAAAUAGACUUCAUAGUCUUUUGAUGAACGAAAUGCAGCAUUGAUGUAAGCCAUCUUUCUUAACACAAGAGAGAGAUAUGAUUUGAUUUGAGGAUAUAUACUUACAUUCCUCCCAAAGGCACCUAUUUAUACUGUUAUGGAGUGUGAACUUCUUUACCAUUGGUGUUGGAAAGGAAAUCAUAAAGAAUCUUUUACAACAUAAAAAAUAAAAAAAAACGUUGGCAUUAUUGGUGCAACAUGUCCUCUCUGUUUUUUUAUUGGCAUGAAUAGACUUAUUUAUGCAUGUGCUGAAUCACAGAGUUAAUCAAGAAGAGGAUAUCAAAUAAAUAAAUUGAACUAAAAAAAUUGUUAAAACAAAAAAUGUUGUCUAUAUAGCAUUACAAAUGAUGAUUUUUACAAAAAUCGUCAUCUAUAAUGUAAUAUUUUUUUUCAACUAAUGAACAAGAUGACAGUUUGUGCAAAAACGUCAUUAAUUAUGAAAAAAUAAACGAUAAUUUUUAUUAAUAGCUUUAGCCUAUAGCAAAGUAAAAACUACCAUUUUAAUUAUCGUGUAAAUUAAAUUUUUAAGUAUUUUUUUUAUCAGUAAUGAAAAAUCAAUAAAUGGGAACCACUUCAGGGGUGGUCCAACCCUUUUACAAACUCACAUCCAAACCGCCGAAUAAAUAACCAACAAAACCAAGUGCUAAUUUAAAGAUAGUCAAUAAAUUUUUAAAUAAUAGACAACGGAUUGAAAAUAGUUGCUUUAAAACUCUAAAAAAAUUCAUCUAAACACUAUUGAUUGUAACUAAAAAUCACAAAUCUUCAUUUGAGAGGACUAUUAAGACAUAAAAGGACAUCUAAGUAAUAAGUUAUACGUUUGUUUCACAGUGCAAUCGUACAUAUUUCUUUUAGUCAUGGCAAAGAAAAAAAAUUACUUAUUAAGAUAUCUAUGUAGGAUUUUAAUUGAAUAAAAUGCAUGUAAAAUUGGAUUAUUUUACCUUUUUUUUCAUACAACCUAUUAGAAGUGAACUUUAAGCCUAACUCAAUUCUAUAAAAUCGAUUCAUAGUGAACUUUAAGCAUAACUCAAUUUCAUAAAAUCGACUCAUGAAAUGAAGUUUGCAUUCAUUUAUAUACAAUGAAAUGUUUUAUAAUUUCUAAAUUUCUAGUUGACGUGGCAUCUUUAACAAAAUCAGAUAAAUGAUUGAAAGUUGAUCCCAAACAUUCCACUACUUCACAUAUUUUUUCUAUCUUUUAGUGUUUUUUUUUCAUACAAACAUAUUUUUUCUAUCAUUUAGUGUUUUUUUUUCAUACAAACCAUAUUCGAGGGACCACACGUCACAAGAUAUGAAUUUCCAUCAACUUAACAUUAACUUUUAUAAAUAUAUGAUGUUGAUACAAACCAUAUGAAGGUGACAACUGUACCAAAAUUGAUUGCAGGUCCCAAACAAAUACAACACGUGAAAAAUACCAAUUGCAGUGUGGGUCUUAUUUUGUAAGAGUUUAUGGAUCACAUUUAUUUUUUUAUAAAAAAAUUAAUAACAAUGUAAAUUCUAUAUAUAUGUAUAGAAAUAAACUACAAUAAAUUUCUUAAAAAUACAUCUCGUUAAGAUAAAAUUCUGUUUUCAACUUUCUAUUUCAAUUUUUUAUUAAUAUAAAGUAUACACACAAAAUAAAAUAAUAAAUACCAUUAUAAAAUAAAAUAUUGAAAGAUAAAAGUUAGAAAUGUCUGAAUUCGAUAAUGAAAAAGAAAUAGAAAGCACAGAAGAAAACGUAUUGAAUUUAAUAACUUAUCCGAGGACCACACGUAUGAACAAGCACACUAAACGACAUGAAAAAAAAUAAUGUUUGGAACCAACGUUCGGUCCUCUAUGAAAAAUUAAAAAAAUUGGUCUCAAAAUUGGCCCGAAACAAACAACACGUGAAUAAAGUAUAUAUGAAAAAUCUGAAAACAUACUCACAUGUGUAUUCCAUAAAUUACAUCAACACAUUUACUAGUAUUCUAAAUUCUAAUUACAAACCUUUAUUGUAACACCCCAUAAUUUACAUAUAACUAUUACAAUAAAAGUUCUAACAGUUUUUAUAUAAAUUUGGAUUUUUUCAAAACAUUCCUAAUACAUGAUUAGGAUUUAUAGAAAUACAAAUAUUUACAUAUCCAGUUUAAAAGAACAUCUUAAUGUCCUCCAGAACCUUCAACACAUGUAUGGUCAUCUGCUCGUGUACGUCGUACAGUCAUCGUAGUUCAAACACAACAAGAAAAGCAAGGGUAAGCUAAUGAAAAGAAAUUUCAUAUCUUAUCUAAUUUAUUUAUUUUUUGCAAAAAGAACCAAUCAAACAAAUCAUUUAUAAAUAUUUCUUUAAAUGUUAUCAUAUAAAAUUUCAAUAUCAAUUUCAUCAUUCAUAUAGACCACACAUGGAUCUAUUUUCAAUCACAAUCAUUGGAUUUCAUUUCAAUCCUACUUCAUCUUCCCGGAAGACUCAUUAAGUAUGCCCCUACCAGAGACUAACACCUGACCCAAAGAUUACCAUCGAAUCCAAUAGAAAGGAUCAGGGUAAGUUCAAACAUCCAAUACCGAGUGUCUACAAUGGGACCCGGUGUGUAUGAACUCCCUCUCAGCUUCUCACCACCUAAUAUCUUAGUCUACAUGACUUAGAUCAUUAGUGAAGCCAGAGGAUCUCCGUUAAACAUAGGCUUUUCAUACUUAACGUACCAUCAAACAACAACUCAUACAUUAUCCCAAAUGUAUGACAUCAAUUUCAUACAAUUUACAUCAUUCGUAUAUAAUACAUAUCAUUCAAUCAGAACAUUUUAAAAAGUUAUACCAUUCAAGAACUUUUCCUACAUCAAAACAAUAUUUAACUUUCAAACUAUCAAACUAUGAUAUUUAUAAAGUUAAAAUAAUAUAUAAACAAACACACAAUAUAUAAACAAAUAACACCCCUGCAAGAGAAAUUCAAUAUUGGGACCACGUCCCUUCCGCAUUCAGAUUUUCUAUCCUAAGGUGCUAUUAAAAAUUAAAUUAAGCUUCCCUUACCUCAAUUGCUUGUUUUCCAAGCAACUUCAAGAAUUUUGUUCCCCACAGUCUUGAUAAACUUCAAGAUUUACGGGCCUAAUGCAAGUUAUCCAAACAGAACAAAAAUUCAGUAUAUAGUAGAAUAAGUUGAAAGGAUUAAACUUCUCAACUGACCCAACCAAGAUUGAUGACUAAAUCCUAAGAAAAAACAGAUAACAAAGGAUCUCUAGAGUAAAAAUGAACUUACUCUGUUUGAAAAUAAAUCUGAUCGGGUAGAAAUGUACCUUAACUCCUCAACUACAGCGUGGUACGAUCAGAUUCUAAAAUAGAUGAGGUAUGGAGUGAGAAAUUAAAAGAGAAGGUAGAAGGAAGAGAUGGAGGGAAAAAGAAGAAAGAAAAGAAUGGUUAGUGAAAGUGGGGGCAAAGUUCUGCUUCUUUAUCCUCUCUUUUUUUACGCUGUUACAUUUAUGAUAUUAAUUAAUACUCUGAUUGUUAAAAACAACCAAAAUAAAGUAUAGAUAAAAAAAAUUAAAACUUCCCACGAUAAUCGAGGAUCAUUCUUAAGAGUAUCUUAACUUGAAUCUUAGAACUAUAUUCAAUAUAUACACAAAAUUUUAUAUUUUUACUAACUUAAACAUCGAAAUAUUUUUCUACAAAAUGAGGUCUCUCAUUUUCUAAUGGUUGAAUUACUAUAACUUGAAAAGAACUCACUAAUGCUCCCGCCCUGAGUUGACGAACAUAAAUUAAAACAUACUUCACAUGUUACAUCAUCAACAGAUUUACUAGUAUUCUAUUUUAAACAUUUAUAAUAUUAAUUAAUACUCUGGUAGUUAAUUUGAAUUGAUAUAUUAACAUAAAAAUUCUUAUUUAUUAGAUUUUUUUAUAAUUUUAAUUUCAAAAUGUUAAUCUUUUACACUACAAUAAAACUAUUAAAUAACAACUAAUUUCAAAAAUAAAUAAACUAUUAUAUGAAUUAAGUUAAAUAUUAUCUUAUAAAUUAAGAUAUUCUAUUAUUGUAAAAAUUUAUAAACUAUAGUUUCUAAAUUGGUAUUUCACAUAAUUACCAAUAUUUAAUUAUUAACUACUUUAUAUUCUCAAUUAAUCUUUAUAAUAACUAAUAUAUUAUAUUAAUAUUAAUUUAAUUGACAUUAACUUAAAAAAAAAUCACAUCAAUUAAAUUAACAUUAAUUUUAUUUUUUAAUAUUUUUUUGAAUUAAUUUUAGUUAAUUCGUCAUAAAUUUAACAUUAAUACAAAUAUUUUAUUCAUUGAAAAAGAUAAAAUAAAAUAAUCUCAAUUCAUAAUUAACUUAAAAAAAACUGAAAUGUAACUUAAUAUGUAUCUCAAAAUUCUGAUAAAAAAAUUUAAUUCUAAGUUAACAGAUAUUUAUUUAGAGAAAAAUAAACUUACUUAAUUAAAGAUGGUGUAAACUUUUUGUAGCUUAUAUGCUUUGAAAUUAUUAUUUUUGUAGCUUAUAUGCUUUGAACAUUUUUCGGAUUUUUUUUCUUCCUGUUUAAAUGUAUUUCCCAUUGUACCAUCUUUUUAAGUUACUCUCUAAAUGUUUUAGUAAACUAGCUAUUUGAUCUUAAAAAAUUAAAAUUAAUAAAAAAUAUAGUUUAUAAGAUUAUUAGCUAAUUUAUUGAUGCAGACACAGUUUCCUCGUACAAACGUAAUAAAAAACAAACCUCAUACAAAUCAAAAAAUAUUGAAACACAGGUCUCAAAAAAGAGACUUAGAAGUAAUUGGCAUGCGUGUCUUUUAUAAAUUGAUGCUGCAUAUAACUCGAUUUUGUAUUUUUUGUUCAAUGGUGAUUUUCUUAAAAUGUCUUUGUUGUUAAUUAUAACAUUUAAUGAUAUUAAUUAAUACUUUGGUAGUUAAAAAAAGUCAGAAUAAAGAGCACUGAACUUAGUCAAAAAAAGAGAAAUUAAAACCGUAAAAUUCACUGUUUAAAAGUAAAUAUAAUUAUUACAUAAAGCUAUUGCUUAAUUGUUUCUUAUAUUUAAGAACAUAAUUCUUCUUUUCUAAUUUUAACAUUUUUUUACUAAAAUUAUCAUAAUUCAUAUUAUAAGAAAAUAUUAAAUAUUAGUUUCUACAUAGUAACGUCACUUAAAAUGUAGUAUUAUUAAAAUCGACUAAGUCAAAUUUAACAUGUAAAAGAUUAUUUUUUUAAAAUUAAAAGAAUGUAAAAUUAUUUUUAAAUGUAAUUAUAUAUCAUGUAAAGUGUAUACAUCAAUCUCAUGUUGUUCAAAUAUAAUAAUAGGGUUGACUUAGUUAAUUUUGAGUUGAUCUUAAAUUUUUUAACAAGGAAAAAUAUUUGUAUUAAUAUAAAAUUAAUAACAAAUUAACUAAUGUGAAAUUAAAUAAAUCUUAAAAAUAAAUUAAUAUUAAAAAUAGAUUUAGUAUCUAUCUUUCCAUUUUCCCAGUCUAGAUUUAAUUUUUUCAACCACACCAUCCCAAAAGGCUUUCCUCUUAUGACACUCUCUACUGGCAUACCAAAAUAUUUGAAAUGUGUUUUCAUCACAUCAAAAUUAAUAAUAGCAGCAAAAUCCUGAACUGCAAACAAAUCAAUCCCCACGCCACCAUUGCUACUUUUCAAUAAAUUCACCUUUAAAUCAGAUACCAACUAAAAACAUCUUAAAAUAACUUUAAUGAUAAACACUUUUAAUAUUCGCUUGACAAAAAAAAUAGUGUAUUAUCUGCAUAUUGAAGCAUAUUAACAUUGACCUUCUUGCUCCAAACCUCUAAACUCUCUAAAAAAAAACAGUCUCGUCAACUUUUCUAGAAACCUCAACCAAUCCUUCAACCGCUAUAAGAAACAAAAACAAGGCAAGAGGAUCAUCUUGUCUCAAACGUUUCAAAUGAGAGAAUUCCUUAGUCGGACUCAUUAACAAGAAUAAAAACUUUAGUAGAUUCCAGACAAACUUUAAUCCACAAAAUACCAAUCUUCCUAACAUGUAAUAAAUAAACUCCCACUUCAUAUAAUCAUAUGUCUCCUCACAGUCCAUCUUAAAAAAUACACAAGACUUCUUCUUCCUCUUUACUUCCUCUAUUACCUAUUUAUAUCUUUCUACCCCGACCUUUAAGGAAUCAGAUAGAGUUAACUAAGAACACCUUUUGCAGUGAUUUACAUUUAACUUAUAGAGUCUAAGAAGAAAUAUGAAAAAAAUAUAAAAGAUAUAGAACCUCAAUUGUCCACUAAUAAUAUGCAAACUUUGAAAUAAGAUGAUAUGAGAAUUCGAACUUUUUCAAGUACUAAGGAAAAAAAAAAUAUGAGAUUGAGAAUCAUUAAAAUUAAAAAAAAAUAACAACAUUGUAAAGUAGUUUUAUAAUAUAUUUACUCAUAUAUUCAUGGUCCAAUCACCAUUAUAGACAUCUUUUAAGAAUAUAGUUUUGAAGUAUCAUUUGUUAUUUUUCAUAAAACUAAUUUUUUUACUCAAGUAAUCUUUGUUCAUCUAAUGCAAACUUUGACAGUACAUAUCAUCCAAAAAAAAUACCAGUAGCAGCGUGGAUUCUUCUAUAUAUAAACUGCAAUAAAUUUCUUAAAAAUACAUCGUUAUGAUAAAAUUAUGUUUUCAACUUUCUCCAUUUUUAAUAUUUGUAUUUAAUUUAAAUUAGUAUCGGUUAACGUUAAUAUUAUUUAUUGGUUAAUAUUUAUUUAAAUUAACAUCAAUCUUCCUAAAAUUACUGUAAGUUUUUAAUAUCUGUAUUUAGUUUAAAUUAGUAUUAGUUAACAUUAAUAUUAUUUAUUGUUAAUAUUUAUUUAAAUUAACAUAAUCUAACUGAAAUUACUGUAACUUUUUAAUAUCUAUUUAAAUUUGAAUCGACUGAUCAUACGAUGUCUUCCCCUGGCACACCACAAUUGAAUUAGCUAUUAGCUGAUACAGUUGUGAGUGUGUUGGUGUGUGAUUUUAUGCAGGUUCUGUUUUGUAGUGUUGUCUUGUGAGUAAAUUCACAUAUGUGUUAAACCAAACCACACAACCAUACAGUUUUUAUUUAUAAUUAAGAUUAUGAAAAUAGGAAAGACAAACAUGCAGUGUUCUUACAUUAGGAAAAGAAAGAGGCAUUCAAUCCUAAUGUUACAUUAAAGAAACAGAAACAAACGUUGGCAAUGACAGCCUUAUUUGUAACAUAUUAUGAGACUAUGCUUUUUGAUGGAGAGUGAAGCCUUCUUUAGCUGACGGGCAAAAUGUCUUUAAGACAUGGCCAACCAUCAACGAUAGGCUUUAUAUCACUCAGAAGAACGUCAUUAGUUGCAUUUGGAGUGAAUUUGAUACGAACAUAUUGAUCUCCUUUGAAAAGAUAAGCUUCAGACUCCUCAUGAGAAGCAAAAGACGCAUCAAUUCCACUUUCAAAGAUCGUAUCUUUCAGAACAGGAAAUCCAUCAGUGAUUUUACGAAUGGUGCCAACAAGCUGCUUGGAAUCAUAGUCUAUGCGAGUAUACUGAUUGUCCUUGAAUAUGUAAACUUCUUUUCCUAUGGUUGACCUGAAUGCAGAGUCUAUGCCAUCCUCAAACACUGUGUUUUUUAGGACAGGAAAUGUUUCAGCAAUUGUGGCAGGACCUGAGAGAAUCUUGUCAUUUGUUGCACCUGGAGUAUACUCUAUGUAGGCAGACUGAUUGGUUGAGAACACAUAUGCUUCACUCCCUUCAGUAUCAAAGGAACCGUCUAUUCCAGGUUCUGCAAAUACCGUUCCUUUAAAUACUGGAAAACCAGUACUAAUCAAACGCAGACUAGUCAAAAUCUUAUCAUCUAAUUUUCCUGGAGUGUAUUGCACCCGCACGUACUUAUCCUUAAUGAAGAAAUAGACUUCAUAAUCUUUUGAUGAACGAAAGGCAGCAUUGAUGUAAGCCAUCUUUCUUAACACAAGAAAUAGAGGGAUAUAUGAUAUGAUUUGAGGAUGCUUACAUUCCUCCCAUAAGCACCUAUUUAUACUGUUAUGGAGUUGGAACUUCUUUACCAUUGGUGUUGGAAAUGAAAUCAUAAAAGAAUCUUUUACAACAUCAAAAAUAAAAAUAAAAACAUUCGCCAUAUUGGUGCACAUGUCUUCUCUGUUUAUUUAUUGGCAUGAAUACACUUAUGUAUGCAUGUGCUGAAUCAGAGUUAAUCAAGAAGAGGAUAUCAAAUAAACAAAUUGAACUAAAAAAAAUUGACCACAGUUAAAACAAAAAAUGUUGUCAUUUAAACACUAUUGAUUGUAACUGAAAAUCACAAAUCUUCAUUUGAGAGGACUAUUAAGACAUAAAAGGAAAUCUAAGCAAAAAGUUAUAUGUUUGUUUCACAGUGCAAUGAUACAUAUUUUUUUUAGUCAUGGCAAAGAAAAAAAUAUUAAUUAUUAAUAUAUUUAUGUAGGAUUUUCAUCAAAUAAAAUGCAUGCAAAAUUAUGCGAAAUUGGGUUAUUUCACCUUUUUUUCAACCAUUCAGUGUUCUUGUUCAUACAAACCAUAUCCGAGGUACCACACAUCACAACAUAUGAAUUUUCAUUAACUUAACAUUAAUUUUGAUAAAUAUAUGAUGUUGAUACAAACCUUAUCAAGUUGACAACUGUACCAAAAUUGAUUGCAGGUCCCAAACAAAGCACAUGCAGAAGUUAGAUAACAUUUGCUUACGUGUUUCAAUUUUAGUGGCUUUUAAGGUUACGUGUUAUCCUCAAGUGCCACACUCUCAAUAAUCAUUUAAAACAUCCAAUUUUUUAACAUGUUUGCCAUUUAAAAAUAAUUUAUAAUUCACAUUCGUUUUCAUUAAGAUGAACGAAUUCAUAAUAUAUAAAUAAUUAUGGUUUAGUUGGUGUUAAAUUAGAAUUAAUGUUAAUUACUAAAUAAUAAAACUAUUCAAUAGCAACUAAUUUUAAAAAUAAAUAAAUUAUUAUAUUAAUUAAAUUAAAUAUUAUCUUAUAAAUUACAAAAUCAUUAAUAUUUAAGAAAAAUCUAUUAUUAAUAAAAAAAUUAUAAAUUAUGUAGUUUCUAAAGUGAUAUUCACAUAAUACCAAUAUUUUAAUUAUUAACUAUUUUAUAACUAUCAAUAUUUUAAUUAUUAAUUACUUGAUAUUCUUAAUUAAUCUUUAUAAUAACUAAUAUAAUGUUCUUAUGCAAAGUUAUGCUACAUUAUUUUGUGGUUUUAAGCGUCAGCUUAUGAUGCAACCAAGUAGUUUCAGCUGAAGUUCUUCUCUGCUUGUGCCAGACUAUGCAGCUCAGAUCAUCUCUUUGUUUUAGAAUUUUUGUGUAUAAAAGAAGCUCAGUAGUGUUAGGUACCUCUUUUAACUUAAAUAAAUAAAUAAAAAAUCACAUCAAUUAAAUUUAUUUAUUUUUAAUAUUUAUUUGAAUUAAGUUUAGUUCAUUCAUCACAAAUUUAACAUUAAUACAAAUAUUUUAUUCAUUGGAAAAAAUAAAACAAAUUAACCUCAAUUCAUAAUUAACAUACCAAAAUUUUAAGUGUAGUUUAAUAUGCACCACAAAGUUCAGAUAAAAAAUCUAACUAUAACACUAGGAUUUUGAACUAGGAUUCUGAGCUAAUAGAGAUAAAUCUUGGAGUUAAAAGAGUCACAUUUUCUUUUUUUGUUAAUAAUAUUUUUUUUUCAUGUGAUGGCAGAUGAUUGUUGUUACUUGAGGUGUCAGCCUAGCUGAGAUGUCAAGUUGCAUAGUGAUGUCUAACAUGAAAACUUUUUAUAAAAAAAAAAAGUUUAUGCAGAGACAAACCUAACAAGUUCAAAAUUUGACUCAAAUGGAAGAACAAAAAUGAACUUACUUUAUUAAAGAUUCUAAUUUGGCAGUCUUGUAGUAUUCAUUGCUAUGAGUAUGAGUCUAAUGACACACUCCGAUCGCCAAACCUCAAACUGGAGAGCGAGUAGAUCAGAAUCUUAAAAAGAAGACAGAGAAAAGAAAAAAAAAGAAUUUUUUUUAAAGAGAUGAUUAUUCUUUUAAAAUAAAACUUUAAUCUUUUAACUUUAUCAAUAAAAUAUUCAAGUGUCAUUUUAAUAAUACCUACUUUUACUCUAAGACUAUUUUAUUUGAUCCUACCUAGAUAUAUAGUAUUUUAAAAUAUUACUUAUACAUAUAUAAAAUUUAGAUAAAUAUAAUAUAUUUACAAAACAAGGCCAAAUAAAACGUCCAUGAUCUUGUACCUCUAUUCAUAUUUCAUGUAUGGCAAUUUACAAAACAAACAAUGUAUUAUACUAAUUUUAUAUUUUUAUGAAUAUAUUAAAGUUAUUAUUAUUUUUUAUGUAUUUUAAUAUUAAGAUGUAUUUUUAUGUUUUCAACUUUCUAUUUCAAUUUUUUAUAAGUAUACAUACAAAAUAAAAUAAUAAACGUGUUGAAUUUAAUAGCUUAUCCUAGGACCACACGUGUGAACAAGCCCACUAAAAGAUAUGAAAAAAGUAAUGUUUGGGACCAGCAUUCAAUCCUCUAUGAAAAAUCCCAAAAUUGGUCCCAAACAAACACAACACGUGAAUAAAGUAUAUAUGAAUAACUAUUUUCAAAGUAUAGUUAAUUAAUCAAUCUCCUUUUAUGACAACAAUUAUUUUCAUUCAUAUGAAUGCGAAUUAUUUUUUAACGAAUGUAGAGAACUAAUGUUUUAAAAAUAUUGAAAAAAUAAGAAUUCAAAAACUGGUGAAAAUUCGAAAAGUGAUAUUUUUUAAAUUAAGAAAAUUUAAAAUAAUUAUAUUUAAUUAUAAUAGUAUAUAAUUGUUACCAAAAGUAAUGUUGGAAGAAAAAUUAGAUGCAAAAUGUAAUGAUUAUAAAUAUAUGAAUACUAUGAAAAAUAAUAAUAAUUAUAAGAAAAAAUGAAAAAUAAUCAUAUUUAAUUAAUGAAUUGUAGUCCAAUAAAUUGUGAAUAUAAUGUAUUACAAUAGAUGACAAGUAUUGUUAGAGUCUUAUUGAAAGAAGUUAAGACCAAAUAAUCAUAUUUAACUAAUUCUUCGUAAUAAAAAUUAUCUACUUUAUGAACUAAUUAUUAAACUUAUUUUAUAUUUUAUAGAUGUUCAACUACUCGAAUCCGAAUAAAUUGAUUAUUUAACGAUAGUUUGGACAUCCUAUUUGCUCAACUUUUACAACACCUUAAAAUAGAUCAUGAUUAAAAUAACUUAAUCAUAUAUUUUCUACUAUUAGAUUUAGUUUAUAUGCUUUUAAUAUAUAUAAAUUUUGAUUUUACAUAAUUAAUUUUUAAUUUGAUUUGAUGUGGUUAAUAUUUUAUUAUUUUAUGAGCAUGUUUUUCUGUCAUAUUCUAAAAUCUGCAUGGGAUUUUUCAACUAAUGAACAAUAAAGGUGACAGUUUAUUAAAAACGUCAUCUAUUAUAAAAAAAAGUAAUUUUAAUUAUCAUGUAAAUUAAAUUUUUUAAAUAAUAGCAAAAUAUAUGACGGAUUAAAAAUCAUCAUUUUAAAACUCUAAAAACUUGUCAUCUAAAACACUUAAUAUUAAAAAUCACAAAUCUUCCAACUGUUAACACAUAUUUUUUUUUUAUCAGUAAUAAUAAAUAAAUAAAUAUGAGUUAGUUUAGGGUGAUCUAACUCAAAUACAACUUAUUAAAAAUAGUCAACCAACAAAAUACUAACCAAACUAUAUCAAAAUUAUUCAAAUUACUCUGAAAAAAAAAAAAACUCCAAAACCAACGAUCAAUAAAAUAUAAUCACAAUUAAAUUGAAUUUAAGCAAAUCAUAGAUUCAAGACAUCAAUUUAAAUAAAAAAAAUAAAUAGAUGAAAUUUUAAAAGAAAUUCAAAACCAAAUUUUCAUUUCAACUAAAACAAUCUUUAAAUAAUUCAUACUACAUUUAAAAAUAACCUAAAAUAUUUAUAAAAAAAAAUUGGACAACUGUACCACAAUUGAUUCCACCGAUAAAUACAACAUGUGAAAAAAUACCACUAGUGUGGAUUGUUUGGCAUAUAAAUAAAAGUUAGAAAUGUCUGAUUUCGAAAAUGAAAAGAAAUAGAAAACACAGAAAACGUGUUAAAUUUAAUAGCUUAUCCGAGGACCACAUGAUUAUCUUUUUAUAAUUUCUAUAAUUUCUUUUUAUCUUUUUAACGUAUUUCACAGUUCGUUUAAUAAUUUAUAAUAAUCAAUUAUAAAAUUAAAAGAAUUAAUGUUAAGAUAAAUCAUAUAUUUAUCAAAAUUAAUGUUAAGUUAAUGGAUAUUCAGUCCUCUGUCUGGUUUGUAUGAAAAAAAAAGUUAAACAACCCAAUAUCUUAUCUUUCAUCAUAAAUAAUUCUACAUAAUUAUAUUCAAGAAAAAUAUUUAUUUCACAAUCGUCCCAUCCUACAAUCCCAAAAAUAUUAAUUGAAAUUUAUAAUUUUAUUAAUUUUGAAAAAAAUUCUAACUAAGGGUUUUUUUAUUUUUUUUUUUAAAAAUUAAUAUUUAUUAAGCUUGUAGAGUAAACACGGUUGUCAAAAUAUUAGAACUCUUAUAUUCAAAUUUUUUUUUCUCAAUAUUUCUUACAUUAAAUAAAUACAUAAGACGAAUUAAACUCUAAAUUCUAAAGUUAGUAACUAAAAUUUUAUCAACCAAUUAAAUACAAAUUUAAAAAUUAUUUAUUAAUAAUAAAUAAUAAAAAUAAUUUAGAUAUUAAUAAUUUGUUAAGAUAAAUAUUGAAUAAAUUCCUAAACAUAUAUAUACAAUAUAAUAUAUAAAAAUUUAUACUGAAAUGUUAAAUUUUUGUGAAUAAUUAUGGUUUAUAGUUGUGAUUGUGAAUAUUUGCUAAAACGUAGUUGAAAAUUUCAAAAUGUUGAGCAGGACACAACUCAAUGUUUGCAAUAGUUCUCAAUGUCUAAAAGAAUGCAAUGAUAAUUCCAAGGUAAAAUUAUCUCCCAUAUUAUAGAAUUUAAUAUCUUGUUCAUUUCUUUACUAUUAAACUUUUUCUAAAUUCUUCCUACUAUUUCUAAAACUAUCAAUUUGAUUAUCCUUUUCUUAAAAAUCACUAUUUCUGGACCCUUUCUCUCCCACCCCAACCCACUCUAAAUUGCUAAAUUGGUGAUUGUUGAUCUUUCUACAUCUCCAUACUUUCUUAUGACAAUCCAUAAGUUUUUUAAUUCCUAAAAUAUCUUUUUUAACAUUUUGGAUUAUGUAAUCUGGAAGUCUUUUGUGAUUAGCUUCUGGAUUACAAAAUCUGAAAGUCUUUUCUAUACACGAGAUUAGCUUUUAGAUUAUGUAAUCUAAAAGUCUUUUUCUUUCAUAUGUUUGAUUAGCUUUCGAAUUACAUAAUCCAGAAGUCUUUUCUGGAUUAAGAUUAGCUUUCGGAUUACGUAAUCUGAAAAUCUUUUUUCAAAUGCGUGAUUAGCUUCCAAAUUACAUAAUUCAUACACUUAUCUCAAAUCCAAAAAAGACUUUCGGAUUUCGUAAAUCUAAAGGAAACUUUCGGAUCCAAAAAAUCUUCUAAAUUAUGUAAAAGAGUAUUUUUCACAUUUGGUACGAGGAUAACAAAAAAAAAAAAGUAUGGAAGUGCAUGAAGAAGGAGUCUGAAAUUCGUAUGGAACUCUCCCAUCAAUUUCAAUGCAUACUUGCCACAUUUAUACCAGCAUCUUUUAGUAGUUUAAGAUUUAAAGUUUAAAAUUUCAUAACUACUGAACACAGCCAUUGAACAAUCCAUUUGUAUAAGCUUUUCCAAGAGUACCAACAUCCCUCGCCAACCACCUGGUAAGUUUCAGCAGAAAAAAAAAAUUGAUCUGGAUAAUGAAGAACAGCUGGAUCAGCAUGAAAAUGAAAAACACGUCCAAUUUCAUGGUGAACAAACUCUCUGACAACACUAUAACGAUAUUUAUCUGAAUGAUCACUAAAAUGAAAAGAGAAGACGUGAAUUAUAAAUCAUUAUAUAAUUAAGAAUAAACUUUUACUUGAGUUACAGUAAAAAAAAAAAAAAACUACUAGCUCAUAUUGACAUGAAUGAAUGAGGUAAUAGUUUAGAUACUGCUUGCUUGAGAAAAAAACAGAUCAAGAUGAAUAUAGCUUGAGGGAGCCAUUCAUGGAGGAAGAUAAUGAUAAAUCAGAAAAAGAUAAUAAUCCAGAAAUAAACUAGACGAAACCUAGAAAUAAUAAACCAGAGUUAGUACAACGAAAAAAUAAAAAAAGAUAAUGAUAAAUAUUGUGCAAUAAGAAUUUAAAAUAAAUCACAAAAACUAAAGCAAGUUAAAAUUUAAAAUUAAAGUUAAUCACGAUUAAUUAAAACUACAAUUGUAUGUUAUGACACAAAGCAAGAAUUCAUGUUUAAAACACUACAACAUCGAAAUUAAAGGUAAAAAUAGUUUAUCAGAAAAAAAAAAUUAUAAACAAGAGAGUGUUUAGCAAAAUCCAUAACAUAGACCAGCAAUAACCACAAACAAAUAAUUAUGGUCAAUCAUGUUUGUUUUAAGAUGAAUUAGUAAACUGGAUCCCUUAUAAUAAUGCAACUGUAAAAUGACCUAAUUAAUUCAUAAGGAUAGAAAAGUUUGUCCCUGCAAGAAUAAGAUUAAAUAAAUUAUGCUCACUUAGUAUAUAUUUUAAAUAGAGUUUUACACACUGAAAAAAUCCAAGAGAAUGUAAAAUAACUGAAAAGAAUAGGUAACAGAAAUCACCUUACAUAAACAAUCAUUUUCCUUGUGCCUUAUAAAUAGUCUUAGGAAUACAAGCCAAACUUUUAGACUCUGGUAGAGCUAUGAUGUUUGGAAAACUAAUUCAUUGCACAUUGGCACUGUGAAAUAACAAAACAAAAAAUAAAAGGACCAAAAUAAAAAUAUAUAUAUAUAUUUUGGUUGGGUGUCUUUUGUAUAAUAUUUUGGUUAUUGUAGUGUAAUGUAUGUCAGAUCCUUAGUUAGUUGGGUGAUGAAAAAUUUGUUUGGUGUUUUUCUAAACUCCUUUCAUGGAAGAGAAGCUUCGAAACUACCUAGCGUAGCUUCAAAACUAUCUAAACCCUAAACCGCUCCAACUUUAAAUAAACAGUUAUUUCUAUGUUUCUAAAUCUCGUUAACCAACAUGAUCCAAACAUUAUUCAACAUAAGAUUAACCGAAGUAGAUGCAUCUUGAAUCUUGAAAUGUUCGAAAUAUGACUCAUGGACAAUAAGAUCGACCGAGCUCACUCCAAACUAGUCGCAACAAAGAUCCAAAUUAACUAAACAACUCUCACAAUGUAAUUAUACAUAUUCUUUUUUAGUCAUGGCAAAGAAAAUAAAUAUUAAAUUAAAUAUUAUUAUCGAAUAAAAUGCAUGCAAAAUUAGGUUAUUUCACUUUUUUUUAUACAAACAUUCUACUUCACAUAUUUUUUCAAUCGUUUAGUGUUCUUGUUCACACAAACAAUAUCCUAAGGACCACACGUCACAACAUAUGAAUUUCCAUUAACUUAACAUUAAUUUUGAUAAAUAUAUGAUGUUGUUACAAAUCAUGUCAAGGUGACAACUGUACCAAAAUUGAUUGCAGGUCCCAAACAAAUACAACACGUGAAAAAAUACCACUAGCAGUGUGGAUUCUUUAGCAGAUAUAUACGUAUAUAUAUACACUGCAAUAAUUUUCUUAAAAAUACAUCGUUAAGAUAAAAUUCUGUUUUCAAUUUUUUAUUAAUAUAAAGUACACACACAAAAUAAAAUAAUAAAUACCAUUAUAAAAUAAAUAAAAAAUAUUGAAAGAUAAAAGUUAGAAAUGUCUGAAUUCGAAAAUGAAAAGAAAUAGAAAACAGAAAACGCAUUGAAUUUAAUAGCUUAUCCGAGGACCACGUUACAUGAUUAUAUUUUUAUAAUUUCUAUAAUUUCAUUUUAUUUUUUAACGUAUUUCACAAUUUGUAAUAAAUAAUUAUAAAAUUGAAAGAAUUAGUGUUAUGACAAUAUCAUAUAUAAGUGUAUGCAAUCCUCAACCUCAAGAGCAGUAGAAUGUUUGGGACAAGUAUUCAAUCCUCUUGAUUUGUAUGGAAAAAAAAAUAACCCAAUUUUGCAUGCAUUUUAUAUGUAUUUGUUAAAGUUGAUUUUUGGUAAAUACUUAAUAUGUAUUUGUUUUGUUGUAGUGAUUAAAUCUUGCUGUAUACAAAGUUAACGGGUGAUACAAUAUCAGAAAUAGCUCUGCAAUUUUUAUUUUUUUUAAAUCUACAUGUUAUUCAAAUAAAUAUAAUAAUAUUUGCUUAAUACAAUAAAUAUAGUACUAAAAAUAAAUGAAAAAACUCUAAACAUACUCACAUGUGUAUUCUAGAAAUUACAUAGGCAGAUUUACUAGUAUUCUAAUUACAACAUGUAUGAUAUUAAUUAAUACUCUGAUAGUUAAAAACAACCAGAAUAAUAAAGUAUAGAUGAAAAAAUUAAAACUCAAAAUGGACUUAUGCAUGCAUACCAAUUUAUACAACAUACACAUGUCAAUAAUAAAGUUAUUAUGUUAAGUAAGUAAUAUUGCAAAUUAAAAUAUCCUAUGAUAGUGCUAAACUUAUCCAGUUUAUGUGACGAGGCAAAGAAAUUUGUAUUUUUUUAAUUUGAGUUUAUUAAUCGAAAAAUGAUUUAUAGAUCAUAUUUAUUUUCAUUAAGACGCAUGAAUUCAUAAUAUAUAAAUAAUUAUUAGUUUAGCUGGUGUUAAACUAGAAUUAAUGUUAAUUAAUAAAUAAUAAAUUAAAUAAAUAUAAAUAAUAAAAUCAAACAAUAUUAGCAUCAAUUAAAUCGAAUAAUUUUAUUUAUUUUUAAAAAUAAUUUAAAUUAAUUUUAACAAAUUCAUCAUUGACAUUAACAUAAAAGAAUUUACAUUUUUAACUUUAAAAGGUUAAUCUUUUACACUAUAAUAAAAUUAUUAAAUAACAUUUAAUUUUUUUUAAAUAAUUAAUUAUUAUAUUGAUUAAGUUAAAUAUUAUUUUAUAAAUUAAAAAAUAUUAGUAUUUUAAAAAAAUAUUAUUAAAUAAAAUUUAUAAACUAAUUUUAAAUUACUAUCUCACACUUAAUCUUUUAACUAUUAAUUAUUUUAUAUUCUCAACUAAUCUUUAUAAUAACUAAGAUAUUAUAUUGUAUUAAAGUUAAUUUAGUCAAUAUUUAAUAAUGUUACAAUAUUGAGUGACACAAUUAUUUAGAAUUUAAUUCGAUAAUUUUUAUAAUAAAUUAUCAUAAUUUUAGUAAAAAAUAAAAAAAGAUUGAAAAAAAAAUUAUGUUUAACAUAAAUAAUUUUUUAUUUUCAAAAAUAAAAAAAAUUAAAAUUGAAGCACUUAUUUUAUAUGUAAUUAAAACAUAUUUAACCUUAUUAUCAAAAACAACUUUUCGUUUCGUGUACGAAUAUCAUUGAGUAUAUGGAAUCUCAUUCAGCACAAGAUUUAUUUGUGUUACCUGUAAAUGGAAUUUUUUUAUAAGAAUAUUUUAAUGAUGUUUAAAUAUAAUUUUUUUCUAUAUAUAUAUAUUAUGGGAUUUUCUAUUUAGUUCACACAAUUUUAAAAAAAUAUACUUAAAGAUAAUUAUUAUUUUUAUAUAUAAGACAUAUAAUUUUUGUGUUACUACUCUAUUCAAAUCUUAUUUUUCUAUAUUUCUUACAUUAAAUAAACAGAAUAGACAAUUUAAAAUAUAUAUUUAAUUUUUUCAAUAAUUGUAAUAUUUAAUAAUAAGUUAAAUUAUAUAUUUUUUAAAAAAAAUACGAAGAUGACAAUGUGCAUGUUUUCGUCCGUGUAUAUAUAUAAUUAUUGUAUAUUACUAAUUAAAAUAAGUUAUUAUAGUAGGAAUGGAGAAAGAAAGUUGAUGCGAUGACAAAACAGUACACGACAAUGAUUUUAAGUAUUUUUGUUUUAGGUUUGGUCUAACCCCACCCUUUAAUCUUAUCCAGAAGUAAGAGGAAGGACACAUUUCUCACGUGCUUUACUUUACUAAGUUAGAAAUAAGUGUAUUCAUGAUAGUUUCCUGUAUCAAUAGUAAAGGACUUCCCACUCCAUAAUAGUAUAAAUAGGUGUCUUUCAUAGGAAUCUAAUCAUCCACAAAUCAACUCAGAUCUCUCUAUUUAUCUAUACUUUAUCCAUCAUUUUCUACAGUUUGUUAAGAAAAUGUCAAUCCCUCCACCAAAUGAUCCAUCCAGAGGUUCAUCAGAAUUCUCACAGCCUCUCCGAAUGGUAGAUUUUGUUGAAGCUCUAGAAUUGUUAAAUAAUAUCAACCGUGUGAACGUCGUGGAAGGAAACUUGACUGGAAUUGAGUACAGGACAGGUGAUCAAGAAUUAGAUAUUCGUCGUCCUGUAUAUCGUUGGGACAGAAGGCCCUACCAGGAGAUCUUUGAAAAUGGCUUCCAAGCAUGACCUCAAGGACAAACUCCCAACUCCACUUAUUAUGAUUUGCAUCACUUCAUUGAACAUGCAGGAGCCCCUCUUGAUUCCAAUAGGCCUCCAACUACAACACAUGUGUACCACACUCAACAAUGCUUGGCAACCAACACCUUCUAUCGAAGUCCUCCCACCCGGCUCUCAGAUCCAAUUUUAUCAUUAUGAAAUUUAUGCUCCUGGUGGUAUUUGGUAUUUGGGUUGCUCUCAGUCUUAAUAGUUACCCAUAUAUUUCUCAAGCUGAAGUUUGCUUUGUUGGAGGAAUUGCAUCUCAGUACAUUCGAUCUUGUCUCAUAUUCACAGCAACACGUGAAGCCGGAGCAAGGUUAGAUUACAUCUCAUGCUAUAUAAUUUUUAUAAUCAUCUCAUAUAAUCAAUCACUAACUAUAACCUAUUAUAUUGUGCAGGUUUCCGAGAUUACAGAGAGAAACAAGAUUGGUGAUAAACAGAAAUUUUAAUCCAGUGUCAUUUCCUUACCUUGAAGUUGUAGUUCAUAUGCCAGUGUACUACUACAGAGAUGAUAAUGGUGUAAACAGAUACCUACCUGAAGAAACUUAUCCGCCUAGGAGAGAGAAAAGAGAGGUCUUGAGUGCUGAUGAGGAUGCUGCUCUUAAGUGGUAUACUAGUUCAGUUCUAGAGAUACCAAGUUAUAUAAAUUCUGCAUUGCGUUCAUCAAGAACAAAUGAAGUUUAUUUCUUCUUAAAAAAUAAGUAUGUGCGGGUUUAUUACACUCCUGGACAAACAGAUGAUAAGAUUUUGACUGAUUUACGUUGGAUUUAUGAUGGCUUUCCAUCACUUGUUGAUACGCCAUUUGGAGAAUAUGGAAUAGACUGUGUCUUCGACACUGAAGGCAACGAAGCAUAUAUCUUUUGUACCAAACUUUGUGCCUACAUAGACUAUGCUCCAGGUACAAUGAAUGACAAGAUUCUCUCAGGUCCUACCACAAUUGCUGAAAUGUUUCCCGUCCUAAAAAACACAGUGUUUGAGAAUGGCAUAGAUUCUGCAUUCAGGUCAACCAAAGGAAAAGAAGUUUACCUAUUCAAGGGAAAUAAGUAUGGUCGCAUAAUGUAUGAUUCCAAACAGCUUGUUGGCACCAUUCGUAAUAUCACUGAUGGGUUUCCUGUUUUGAAAGGUACCAUCUUUGAAAAUGGAAUUGAUGCUUGUUUUGCUUCUCAUAAGGAGAAUCAAGCUUAUCUUUUCAAGGGAGAAAACUAUGUACGGAUCAUUUUCACCCCAGGCACUACCGAUGACACUCUUGUGGGUGAUGUGAAGUCUAUCUUUAAUGGUUGGCCACUUCUUAGAGGCAUUCUACCUCUCGACAAUAAAGGAGUUGAUGCUCAUCCUCAAUCUGAUCAUGAAGAACCAUAUCCUGAUCAACAUGAUGAGCUUUGAAAAAAAAAUAACAAGAUGCCAUAAUAUGAUAAGAAUAAGGCUUUCAUUGCCAAAGUAUUGCUUCCUUUUCUUUCUUUCUUUCCUAAUGUAAUAAGUGUGGAUGCUUGUGUUUACUUUCUUCUAUGUGGAUAUUUGCUUUCCUUUCUUCAUGUAAUGCUAAUGGUUUAAUAAUAAAAGUGUGCUUUUUGAUUGAAUAAAUUAUUCUAAAUUUGUUUCCUUUAAAAAAUUUACGGAGAUGUUUAUUGGUUGAUUUGAUUCCAGUGUAUUUUUUAAAGGCUAUGUGUAACACCCCAUAAUUUACAUAUAACUAUUACAAUAAAAGUUCUACCAGUUUCUAUACAAACUUGGAGUUUUUCAAAACAUUCCUAAUACAUGAUUAGGAUUUAUAGAAAUACAAAUAUUUACAUAUCCACAGCUCAAAAUAAAACUCUGUAACCUCUAAGGCUCUCCUGCACCUGUAUGGUCAUCUGCUCGUGUACAUAGUACAGUCAUCGCAGUUCAAACACAGCAAGAAAAGCAAGGGUAAGCUACUGAAAAUAGAAUUUUAUAAUAUACACACUUAAAUCCAAAGAGAAAACCAAGUUACAUGAUCAAUUUCUCAAAUUACACAAUCUUCUUCAAAUCCCAACAUUAAAACAAUCACAUAGAUCUCACAUGGAUCUACACAUCCAGAAUAUUCAACAAACAACAUCUUCCGGAAGACCCGUAUUAAGUAAGUCCUACCAGAGACUAACACCUGAUCCAAAGAUUACCAGCGAAUCCAACAAAAAGGAUUAGGGUAAGUUCAAUACAACCCAAGCCGUGCAUCUCAUAUGUCACAGUGUGCAUGAACUCCCCCAUCAGCUUCUCACCACCUGAUAUCUUAGUCUAUGUGACUUAGAUCAUCAGUGAAGCUCGGAGAUCUCUGUUACCACUUAGGCAUCAAUACUUAAUAUACAACAAACAUCAGUCCAUACAUUAUCUCAAAUGUAUGAAUUCAAUUUCAUACCAUUUCGUCAUACAAUAUCAUUCAAAAAGUUAUCCACAAUAUUCAAAAGUUUAUUUGGCAUAAAAAAAUACACUUUAAUACUAAAUCAUCAAAACCCAAUAUUUUCACAAAUUUAAAUAAUAUAUAAACAAACAACCCAAUAUAAAUAAACACACAACAUCCCUGCAAGAGAAAUUGAAUAUUGGGACCACGUCCCUUCCGCAUUCAGGUCUUCUAUCCUAGGGUGCUAUUAAAAAAUAAAUUUAGCUUCCCUUACCUCAAUUGCUUGCUUUCCAAGCAACUUUUAGAAUUUUAUUCCCCACCGUUUGGAUAAGCUUCAAGAUUUACGGGCCUAAUGCAAAUUAUCCAAACAGAACAAAAUUUCAGUAUAUAAUAGAAUAAGUUGAGAGGAUUAAACUUCUCAACUGACCCCAUCAAAAUUGAUGACUAAAUCCUAAGGAAAAACAGUGAACACAGGAUAUUUAGAGUAAAAAUGAACUUACUCUGUUUGAAAAUCUGAUCGGGUAGAAAUGUUCCUUAACUCCUCUGCUACAGCGUGGUAUGAUCAGAUUCUAAAAUAGAUGAAGAUUGAGAGAGAAAUUAAGAGAGAGGGAGAGAAGAGAAUUGGAGAGAGAGAGAAAGUGGUUUGGAAGAAUGAAGAAGAAAGUGAUAGUGGGCACACUGUUUCUGCUUUAUAUAAAGAAAGUGUCGUUACACUAUGAUACGUAAACUCAAGUAAAAAUGAUAUAAAGAAGAAAAGAAAAAUAAAUCCAAUAAAAUUAUUGAGGACUAUGUGAAUUUCAUAAAGUAUAAUCUAUUUUUUUAUUGUCAAUAAAUAAAUAAAUUAAAAAAAAUAUUUUAGAAGUGUUAUAAACUUUAUAAAAAUAUCAACAACCUCAUCAUCUUGUUUACGAAUUUAGAAAAAUAUUACAAAUAUCAAUAAUAAGCAAACAAAACCAAUACGAGACCUAGGCUUCCUGCAAAAUUAUGCAGAAAACCUUGCAUAAGUAUCCUUUUGAUGAAGCACAAUCUAUAUGUGAAACAAAAAGAAUGUUCAUAUGUUAAAAACCCCACAACAUAUUAUAAUUAUUAGAAUAAAAAAAUAAUUUAAAAUAAAAUUAUUAGAAUUAGGUGAGUAUCCAAUUUGUACACUUUGAUUUCAAAUGUUAUAUUUAAACAAAAUCAAGUUUGAAAAACUAUACUAAUGACGAUAAUUUAAAAUACAUAAAAUCAAAGAAAUACAAUAAUAUUUAGAGGUGGUGGUGAAAAUUAUCGUCCAUGAUAAUGAACAACAAAAACAACUAUAUAAAAAAUUGUCAUCUAUAUAAAAAUAAAAAUUACAACUUUAAUCACAUCUAAAUUAAAAAAUAAAUUAACGACAAUUAAUAGACAAUAUAUUGAAAAUGAUCACUCUAAAGAUUCUAAAAAUUAUCGUCUAAACACCUUUGUCUCACAAUGAUUAUACAUAUUCUUUUUAGUCAUGGCAAAGAAAAUAAAUAUUAAAUUAAUUAUUAAGAUAUUUAUGUAGGACUAUUAUCGAAUAAAAGGCAUGCAAAAUUGGGUUAUUUCACUUUUUUUAACACAAACAUUCUACUUCACAUAUUUUUUCAAUCGUUUAGUGUUCUUGUUCACACAAAAAAUAUCCUAAGGACCACACGUCACAACAUAUGAAUUUCCAUUAACUUAACAUUAAUUUUGAUAAAUAUAUGAUGUUGUUACAAACCAUGUCAAGGUGACAAUUGUACCAAAAUUGAUUGCAGGUCCCAAACAAAUACAACACGUGAAAAAAUACCACUAGCAGUGUGGAUUCUUUAGCAGAUAUAUACGUAUAUAUAUACACUGCAAUAAUUUUCUUAAAAAUACAUCGUUAAGAUAAAAUUCUGUUUUCAAUUUUCUAUUAAUAUAAAGUAUACACACAAAAUAAAAUAAUAAAUACCAUUAUAAAAUAUAAAAAAAUAUUGAAAGAUAAAAGUUAGAAAUGUCUGAAUUCGAAAAUGAAAAGAAAUAGAAAACAGAAAACGUAUUGAAUUUGAUAGCUUAUCCGAGGACCACACGUUACAUGAUUAUCUUUUUGUAAUUUCUAUAAUUUCAUUUUAUCUUUUUAACGUAUUUCAUUUUAUAAAUUCUAGAGUUGAUAAUUAAACUUUUGAUAAUUAAUUAUAUAUCAAUUUUAAAAUAUUUAUCAAUAAUAAUAAAAACUAAUUUAAAUACUAAUAAUUUUUUAAUAUUUAAAAUAAUAUUUAAUUUACACAAUAUAAUAAAUAAUUAUUUUUAAAAUAAAAUAAAAUUAAUUUUUAUUUAAUAAUUUUUUUAGUAAUAAUCUUUAUAAAAGUUCAAAACUGAAAUUUAGCUAAUUGAAGAAGUUAUAAAAGUUCAAACCUGAAAUUAAUUAUUUGAUUAAAUUAGAAACUAUUUUAUAAAUUAAAAAAAUAUUAAUAUUUAAAAUAAUUUUUAUUAUCAAUAAAAAAAUAUAAUUUUUUAAAACUGAUAUCUAAUUAUUAAUUAUUAAAAUUUUAAUAUAUUUUAAAUUAAUUAUUUUUAGUGUUUUAAAAAUUAAUUUAGAAUUUAAAGUAUUUCUUAGUAAAUAAAAUCUUGAUAACUAAUUUAAAUACUAAUUUAUAAAAUUUUAUUAAUAAAAAACACUUUAUAUAUUAAUAACUUUUUAUUUCUAAAAUAAUAUAUAAUUUAAAGUUAAUACAAUUUUUAUUUUUAAAUUUAAUUAAUAUUUAAUAAUCUUUUAGUGUGAUAUGCAGGCAUAAGUCCAUUUUAUAUAUAUUUUUAUCCUAUAUUAUAUUUGCAUAGCAUAAAUGUCAUCAAAGUAUAACAUUUAUAAUACUAAUUAAUACUCUCGUAGUUAAAAACAGCCUCGUAAAAAAGAGAAAGAAAAAAAAUUCUCUGUUUAAAAAUAAAUAUAAUAGUUACAAAUGAUAUUGUUUAAUUGUUUCCUAUAUCUAAGAACAUAGUUUUUGUUUCCAAUUUUAGUAAUUAUUUUACUAAAAUUAUCAUAAUAAAAAAAUAUCAAUUAGAAUUAGCUUCUAAAUAAUAGCAUAAAAAAUGUAACAUUAUUAAAACCCACUAAGUAAACUUUAACAUGACCUAAAAGAUUAACUUUUUGUGUAAAAAUGUAAAAUUAUUUUUAAAUAUAUUGUUUUGUGUUAAAAAUGUAAAAUUAUUUUUAAAUAUAAUUUUAUAUUAUGUAAAGUGUGUGUAUUGGUUAAGUUGAUGCUUAAUAUGAUAAUAUAGUCAACCUAACUAAUUAUGAGUUGAGGUUAAUUUUUUUUAAAUAUGUAAAAACAUUUGUGUUAAUGUGUAAUAAAUUAAUUAACAUUAACUCAAAUAAAUAUUAAAAUGUAUUUAAUUCCAUAUGGUUUAAUUAACAUUAAAUUAAAUAACUUUUAUAAAGUAAAAAACAUAUGGACGUCAAUUUAGCUAAUAUUAAAUUAUUUUAAUUAAAAAUUAAUGUUAGAGUUUACUUAACUAACACUAAUUAGAAUUGUAAAAAUUGACACUAAUGAACUAGUAUUCAUAGUUUUAGAGCCUGUUACAUAUAUAAUAUAAAUUUAUCACUAUUAAUUAAUUAAUCCUAAUUUUUACUUGUUAGAAUCGAUUUUUAGUGAAGUUAAAUUUAUAUUUUCUUAUAGUGAUUUGAGUUAUAUAAAAAAAAAUGAAAUCAACUUCUUCAAUUAGAUAUAUUUUGGGGUUUGAACUUUCACAAAGAUUAUAUUUUCUAAUUUGGUAUAAAGUGUGUUUAGUUUAGGAUGUAUCUUGAAAUUUUUGUAGGUGAAUUUCUGAUAUAAUAAUUAUGAACUUUUAAUUUUAUUUUCAAUCUAAUAAUAAAUCUCAUGGCUUCUUCAAGAUUAGGAUUGCAAGUUAUGUUACAAAGAGUACUUUAUUCUUCAAGAUUGUAAAUUAUGUCACAAAGGAGUAAAUACAUGCUUGUGUAGACUAGCCUUAAGGAAUUGGAAAGUUAGGUCUCAUUCCUUCCAAUAAGACUCAUACAAGAAUACGAAAUGGUUAAGUCUUGUUUGAUUAGUACUCAUCAUUUUCCAAUAAAGAUCCUAGUUAGUGCAAACUAAUCUAAGUAUCCAAACUACAUAUAUUAUUUUUGGUAGAGUAAAUUUAUUUGGAUUUUUCAAAUCCAUUUAAAACAAACUAAAUUUAUAUUAAAUCUACUUUAUCAAUUAGAUUCAAUUUUUUAUGGGACUGACUUGACGUGGGUCAACUCAACCCAACCUUGGUAGACUUGACUCGACCUACCUUAAGUCGACUCAGCUCGACAUGAUCUACCUGGUCCGAGCUGACUAAGCUCGAAUCGGGCCCAAGCCGACUCGGUUCGACCUAGAUCUGACUUGACUUGGCUUGAGUUGGGUUAGACGUGUUGACUUGAACUCGGGCCAACUCGACUCGACCUUGAAUCGCACCGACUUGGCUUUUUCUAAACCUAGGCCAACUCAACUCGACCUGGAUCUGGGCUGACUUGGCUCAACUUGGCCUCGGGCCAACUUGGCACGACAUGGAACAUGUCCGACUAGCCUCGAACUAGGCUUAUGCGCAGACUGACUUGGAAGCAGGUUGAUUUAGCUAGACUUGGGCUCGAGUAGACUCGACUCGACAUGGGACCAUACAUACUUGACUCGACUUGGCUCAACCUGGAUUUGGGCCGACUCGGCUUGGCAAGGGGCCCAUGCCGACUCAUCUUGAAAUGGGUUCAAGUUGACUCGACUUGACCUGGUACCAAGACAACUUGGCUCGACUUGAGCCCAGACUGACUCUGCUCUACAUAAGCCCAUGCUGACUCAACUUGACAUGGGGUCAUGUCGGCUCAGCUCAACUUGGUACUAGGUCGAUUCAAGUUGACUUGGGCCUGAACCAACUCGGUUGAUAGAGGCUCGACACGACUUGGGCCUGAACAGACUCGGUUGGACAGUGUUCGAAUCGACUCGACUCCACCAAGACCUAAGUUGACUCGGCUGGACCUGGACUUGGGUCGAAUCAACUGCACUGGGCCGGACAGGCUUUACCUCAGCAUGCACUGACUCUACUCCACAUGGGCAUGAGCUCACCUGUCUCUACAUGGGUUUGGGUUGACUUAGCUCAAACUGGGUCCAUGCCAUCUCAAGUCAACAUGGGUCCAGGUUGACUCGACUCGAUCCGGGCUGGGGUCGAGACAACUCGACAUGGGUUCGGGUUAACUCGACUCGGCCCGGAUCGACUCGGCUAGACCUGGUCCCGUGUCAUGUUGGCUCGACUUGGACUGGAUCAUUUUGACUCAAUCUAGGCCCAAGUCGACUCAACUAGACUUGGGCUCGAAUCGACUUAGCUCGACUUGAGUCCUGGUUUACUUGACUCAACCUAGGUCCGAAAUGACUCAAAAUCCAUCACAAAAUUCAUUUUGGAUAAUUAAAAAUGUAUUGAAUGUAUAUCUAAUCCAAAUCUAUUUAGAUGAAUUGAAUUUAAAUCCAAAAAAUAAAUUUGAAUUUAAAAUCUAAAAAAUAAAUUUGAAUUUAAAAUAAAUAUAUUUAAAUGGACUUACAAACAAUAAAUUUUUUUUGAAUAAUUAUGAAUUACAAUUUAAUUUUUUUAAAAAGAUAGGUACCUUAUAAAAGAAUGGUUUUAAAGGGAGGUAAAAGAGUGAAUGGUUAUAAAAUUAUACAAUAAAUUGGUACAUUGUAUAUUCAAAUAACAACUUACGUGUUUCAUGCAUUUACAUUGGAUGCACUCAUAUAUCCAUUAAGUACAUGAUAAUAGGUUGUUUUCUAAUUUUAACAUUUUUUUUACUAAAAUUAGCAUAGUUCAUAUUGUAAGAAAAUGAUUAUGAGAUAUUAUGAUAUACUAGAAUUUAGUUUAUGAACACAUGACUAUCUUUAAGGAUGGUAUAUUCAGCUUAGUAAAUAUUGAUUAAAGUUAUAUUAUGGAUAUAUUUACUUAUUAUUUAAUAAAUAAAUAUUAAUCAAUAUUUUUUAUUGAUAGCAAUCAUAUAUUUAUAUUUUUCAUUUGUAACAUUAACAAUGACACUAAAUUUAUUAAAAUAUUAUUUCUCAUUUGUAUAUUUAGAUUUAAUUUUAAUAAAUCAUAGGUACGUAUAAUCUCUUUUAUUUAAUUUUUAAUAUUAAAUAUAAAUAUAUAUAUAUAUAAAUAAUAAAAUAAAAAAUAUGAAUGCAUAUAUAUUAGAGUAUCUGUGUGUUUCCGUAGUAAUUAAUAAUAAAAAAUUAUAAAACUAAAAAAAUUAAAGUUAUGACAAAUUAUAUAUUUAUAAAAAAUAAUGUAAAGUUAAUGGAAAUUCAUAUGUUGUGAAGUGCGGUCACUCGGAUAUGUGAUUUGUAUGAACAAAAAACACUAAACGACAUGAAAAAAAAAUCUUACAUAAAUAUUUUGGUUUGUAUGAAAAAAAAAAAUCCAAUUUUGCAUUCAUUUUAUUCGAUAAUAAUCUUACAUAAAUAUUUUAUCUUUCACUACAAGACAAUCAUGAAAUAAAAACUAAUUUUUAGAUACCAAAAUAAUUAGUUGUAAUAAUAACUAAAUUAGAGACCAUUUUAAAAAUUAAAUAAAAAAUUAGUUUAUAAAUUAGUUUUUAUUAUUGUUAAAUAGUUUCUAAAUUGGUAUCUAAUUACUAACCAAGGUUUUAGAGACCAAAUUUAGAAACUAAAUAAUUGGUAGUUAAAACCUUGGUUGUUAAUUAGAUACCAAUUUAGAAAUUAUUUAACAAUAAUAGAAACUAAUUUAGAAACCCAAUUUUUUUAUUUAGUUUCUAAAAUGGUUUCUAAUUUAGUUAAUAUUGCAAGUAAUUAUUUUUGUUUCUAAAAAUUUGUUUCUAUUUCAUGAUUUUCUUGUAGUGUUUUAACAUAAACAAUCCUACAUAGUUAUAUUAAAAUCCUUUUUUUUCAAUAUUUCUUUCAUUAAAUAAAUACAUAAGACAAUUUAAACCGUAAAUUUUAAAGUCAGUAGCUAAAAUUUUGUUACCUAAUUAAAUACCAAUUUAAAAAUUAUUUAUCAAUAAUAAAAAAUAAUUUAUAUAUUAAUUUUUUAAUAUUUAAAAUAAUAUUUAAUUUAUUCAAUAUAUCAACUAAUUAUUUUUAAUUUUUAAAAUUAAUUUUUAUUUAAUAAUUUUCUCAUAGUGACCCUUUUUAUAAAAUUUCUAAAUUUCUAGAAAUUUAACUAACCGAAGAAGUUGAUUGAAUAAAAAAGAAAAUAGUGUAAAUAACUAACAUCAUUACGAGAAAAUACAGAUUUAGUGUCAAUUAAAAGUCAACUCAACUAAGUAGAAAUAGACAUUAAUUAGUCAAUAACAUUAGAUAUAGGUAUCUAUGUAAUUUAUUAGUGUAUCUAUGUAGUAUAAGUUAAUACUCACUAAUACAAAACAAUGUUUUAAUGACGAUUAAAAGGAUUUUUAUCUAAUAACUGUUAUUAUUUUAGAUAUUAUUUUAGAUGUCGUUAUAAAUUAGUUAUUUAUAAUGACGAUUUUAGAACCGUUCUUAUAAAACUUCAUUAAUUACACGUAUAAAAAAUAUCAUUAUUUUGUUAAAUAAAAGAAAAAAUAUAUUUAUAACAACAAUUUUAAUAAUUUUUUAGUUUAUAAAAUUAUUUUUAAUUUAAUUAAAUAAUAACUAAUUAUUUUAAUUUAUAAAAUUAAUUUUUAUUUAAUUAUUUUAUUACUGUGUUAUUUACUCACUAUUAAAAAUAUUGUUUUAAUAACUACACAGUAGAAAAGUUAAACUAUAAUUAUAAGGUGAUACAAUAGAAUUUUAAAAUGGAUCAAUCUCUUCAAAUAGAUUUACAUCUCAGAAAUAUCACUCUUUUAGCUGCAUUAUUGUAUUAAUAGGUAUUUUACUCCAAAUUGUUAUCACUUGGCUUUUAAUUUAGCGCAUAAAUAAUCAGUGGGAUGUCAUAAAAUGCCAAGAUUAAAAUAAUAUUUUUAUUUUAAAAAGAAUGAAAAUAAGUGAAUUAUGUUUCACAGAAAUAUAAUAUUUUAUUUGAAAAGAACAAAACAAAAUUAAAAUUAAAAUUAAAACACACUUAUUUUAUAUGUGAUGAUAACAUAUUUAACCUUAUUAUCAAAACAACUUUUCGUUUCGUGUACGAAUAUAGCAACCAUCAUUGAGUAUAUGGAAUCACAUACAGCACAAGUUUUAUUUGUGUUACUUCAGCUAGUUUUUUUUUUUUUUAUUGGUGUUUCGUCUAUUUGAUUUGUCUGUAUUUGCUUUAGUGGAAUGUUGGAUGAAGUUUCUGUCAGAUUUUGUUUUGUCAUGUUAUGUCAGUAGCUGCUUUGUUUUUUAGAUGUUUGAAAGAUGUUAUGCGGUUAGACUCGUACCCUUUUGUAUAAUGAUUGAAUCACUAUUGGAGUGGUUCUUGGGUAUAUAUAUUAUUGAUUGCUGAUAAAAAAAAGUCACGAAAAUUUUAAUUUGAUUUAAAAAAUAUUUUAAUGAUGUUUAAAUAUAACUUUUUUCUAUAUAUAUUAUGGAAUUUUAUAUUUAGUUCACACAAUUUAAAAAAAAAUAUAUAUAGUUAAAUAUAAUUAUUAUUUUUAUAUAUAAGACAUAUAAUUUUUUUGUGUUAUUACUCUAUUCAAAUCUUAUUUUUCAAUAUUUCUUACAUUAAAUUAAAUAAACAGAAAAGACAAUUUAAAAUAUAUCUUUUUCAAUGAUGGUAAUAUUUCAUAAUAAGUUAAAUUAUAUAUAUAUAUAUAAUUUUUUUUAAAAAAACGAAAAUGACUAUGUGAAUGUUUUCGUCCGUGUAUAUAUAUAUAUAAUUAUUGUAUAUUAGUAAUUAUUAUGGUAGGAAUGGAGAAAGUUGAUGUGAUGACAAAAGAGUAUACGACAAGGAUUUUAAGUAUUUUUGUUUUAGGUUACCUCUAACCCCACCCUUUAACCUUAUCUAGAAGUAAGACGAAUGACACAUUUUUCACGUGCUUUACUUUAAGCUAGAAAUAAGUGUAUUAAUGGUAGUUUCCAAUAACAAUAGCAAAGAAGUUCCCACUCCAUGAUAGUAUAAAUAGGUGUCUCUCAUAGGAAUCUAACCAUCCUCAAAUCAAAUCAUAUCCCUUUGUAAAGUUUGUUAAGAAAAUGUCAAUCCCUCCACCAAAUGAUCCAUCUAGAGGCUGCUCCUCAGAGUUCUCACAGCCUCUACAGCUACAAGAUUUGGUUGACGCUCAAGAAUUAUUGGAAAAUGUGAACCGUGUGAACGUUGUUGAAGGAAACUUGACAAGAAUUGAGUACAGGAUAGGUGAUCAAGAAUUAGAUAUUCGCCGCCCUGUGUAUCGUUGGGACAGAAGGCCCUACCAUGACAUCUUUGUAAAUGGCUUUCAAGCAUGGCCUCAGGAACAAACUCCCAACUCCACUUACUAUAAUUUACAUCACUUCAUUAAUCAUGCAGGUGCCCCUCUUGAUCCAGAUCGGCCUUUAAAUACAAGACAUGUCUUUGUGAGUACCACUCUCAGUAAUAGUUGGCAACCAAGACCUUCAACUGCAGUCCUCCCACCCGGCUCUCAUAUUCAAUUUUAUCGUUAUGAAAUUUAUGCUCCUGGUGGUAUUUGGGUUGCUGUCACUCUUGGGCAUCAAUACGACCAAUAUGCUUCUCAAGCUGAAGUUUGCUUUGUUGGAGGUAUUGCACCUCAGUACAUUCGAUCUUGUCUCAUAUUCACAGUAACGCGUGAAGCCGGAUCAAGGUUGGAUUACAUCUCAUGCUAUAUUAUUUUUAUAAUCACCUUAUAUCAUCGAUCACUAGCUAUAAGUUAUUAUAUUGUGCAGGUAUCCGAGAUUUCAGAGAGAAAGAAGAUUGGUGAUAAACAGGAAUUUUAAUCCAGUGUCAUCUCCUUACGCUGAAGUUGUAGUUUAUAUGCCGGUGUACUACUACAGAGAUGAAAACGGUGUAAACAGAUACCUACCUGAAGAAACUUAUCCGCCUAGGAGAGAGAAAAGAGAAGCUUUGGAUGCUAACGAGGAUGCUGCUCUUAAGUGGUAUACUAGUUCAGUUUUAGAGAUACCAAGUUAUAUAAAUUCUGCAUUGCGUUCAUCCAGAACAAAUGAAGUUUAUUUCUUCUUAAAAAAUAAGUAUGUGCGGCUGUAUUACACUCCUGGACUGACAAAUGAUAAGAUUUUGGCUGAUUUGCGUUGGAUUGGUGAUGGCUUUCCAUCACUUAUUGAUACGCCAUUUGGAGAAUAUGGAAUAGACUGUGCCUUCGACACUGAAGGCAACGAAGCAUAUAUCUUCUCUACCAAACUUUGUGCCUACAUGGACUAUGCUCCAGGUACACUGAAUGACAAGAUACUCUCAGGUCCUACCACAAUUGCUGAAAUGUUUCCCGUCCUAAAAAACACAGUGUUUGAGAAUGGCAUAGACUCUGCAUUCAGGUCAACCAAAGGAAAAGAUGUUUACUUAUUCAAGGGCAAUAAGUAUGGUAUCAUAGAGUAUGAUUCCAAGCAGCUUGUUGGCACCAUUAGUAACAUCACUGAUGGGUUUCCUGUUCUGAAAGGUACCAUCUUUGAAAAUGGAAUUGAUACGUGUUUCGCUUCUCAUAAAGAGAAUCAAGCUUAUCUUUUCAAGGGAGAAAACUAUAUACGGAUCAAUUUCACCCCAGGUACUACAGAUGACACUCUUGUGGAUGUUGUGAAGCCCAUCCUUAAUGGUUGGCCAAUUCUUAGAGACAUUCUGCCUCUCGACAAUAAAGGAGUUGAUGCCAAUUCUCAGACUGAUCAUCAACAACAAUAUCCUCAACAACAUGAUGACCAUGAUGAGCUUUAAAGAAAAAAGAACAAGAUGUCAUAAUAUGAUAAGAAUAAGGCUUUCAUUGCCAAAGUUUGUUUCCUUUUCUUUCCUAAUGUAAUGUAAUAAGUGUGAUGCUAGUGUUUACUUGUAUUUGGAUAUUUGCUUUCCUUUCUUCAUGUAAUAUUAAUGGUUUAAUAAUAAAAGUGUGCUUUUUGGUUGAAUAAAUGAUUCUAAUUUUUUUUCCUUUAAAAAAUUUACGGAGAUGUUUAUAGGUUGAUUUGAUUCCAGUGUAUUUUUUAAAGGCUAUGAUACGUAAAUCCAAGUAAAAAUGAUAUAAAGAAGAAAAGAAAAAUAAAUCCAAGAAAAUCAUUGAAGACUAUGUGAAUUCCACGAAGGACUAAUAAUAAAAAAAAUGUGGAUAUACGUGUUUCACUAAUACAAAAUAAAGACGACAACUUUAACCAUUGUCUAAAUUAAGAAAAAAAAAUAACGACAAUCUAACGGAUUGAAAAUCAUCACACUGAAAUUCUAAAAUUAGUUAUCUAAAAAUCUUUGUCUCAAUGCAAUCAUACAUUUUUUUUUUCAUGGCAAAGAAAAUAAAUAUUAAAUUAAUUACUAUGAUAUUAUGUAGAACUAUUAUCGAAUAAAACGCAUGCAAAAUUGGGUUAUUUCACUUUUUUUUAUACAAACAUUCUACUUCACAUAUUUUUUCAAUCGUUUGGUGUUCUUGUUCAUACAAACCAUAUCCCAGAGACCACACGUCAAAACAAUUAAACCAUAUCCCAAAGACCACACAAAAACAUAUGAAUUUCUAUUAACAUUAAUUUUGAUAACUAUGAUGUUGAUACAAACCGUAUCAAGGUGACAACUGUACCAAAACUAAUUGCAGGUCCCAAACAAACACAACACGUGAAAAAAUACCAGCAACGGUGUGGAUUCUUUAACACAUAUAUAAAAACUGUAAUAAAUUUCUUAAGAAUACAUCGUUACGAUAAAAUUAUGUUUUCAACUUUUUAUUUAAUUUUUUUAAAAUCAAUUUUAUACUUUCUAUUUCAAUUUUUUUAUUAAUAUAAAGUAUACACACACAAAAAUAAUAAAUAUCAUUAUAAAAUAAAUUAAAAAAAUAAAUCACUUUCGUGUUUAUCAAAAACAACUUCUCACUUCUCUCUCACCUUAUAAGUUACAAUAUUAACGUAUCUCAAGUCUGACUCUCUUCUCUUAUUUUCUUUUCUAAAGGAGACACAACAUUCCAUUUUCACUUUUUUUUCUCUUUCUCUUUACUUCUCUCUUUUUUUUAUGGUACUCUCAUUCUCAAUUUUUUUCAAUUUUUUCUGAUUUUGUUCCAAUUGUUCCAUCUUCUUUACAUGUGUUUCUGUAUAUAGUUUUGUAUUGGUUUACAAGCACGUGAAGUUUGGUCCCUUGGUUGAAUUAAAACGAGUGACUCUUUGUCCAACAUGUUCUCUUCUCCAAUUUCUCUUUGUCCAAGUAUUUUUGUUUUAGGUUACCUCUAACCCCACCCUUUAACCUUAUCUAGAAGUAAGACGAAGGACACAUUUUUCACUUGCUUUACUUUAAGCUAGAAAUAAGUGUAUUAAUGGUAGUUUCCAAUAACAAUAGCAAAGAAGUUCCACUCCAUGAUAGUAUAAAUAGGUGUCUCUCAUAGGAAUCUAACCAUCCUCAAAUCAAAUCAUAUCCCUUUGUAAAGUUUGUUAAGAAAAUGUCAAUCUCUCCACCAAAUGAUCCAUCCAGAGGUUGCUCAUCAGAAUUCUCACAGCCUCUACAGCUACAAGAUUUGGUUGACGCUCAAGAAUUAUUGGAAAAUGUGAACCGUGUGAACGUUGUUGAAGGAAACUUGAGAGGAAUUGAGUACAGGAUAGGUGAUCAAGAAUUAGAUAUUCGUCGCCCUGUGUUUCGUUGGGACACAAGGCCCUAUCAGGACCUCUUUGUAAAUGGCUUCCAAGCAUGGCCUGAGGGACAAACUCCCAACUCCACUUACUAUAAUUUGCUUCACUUCAUUGAACAUGCAGGUGCCCCUCUUGAUCCAAACCCGUCUUCAACUACAAGACAUGUCUUUGUGAGUACCACUCUCAACAAUGCUUGGCAACCAAGACCUUCAACUGCAGUCCUCCCACCCGGCUCUCGUAUUCAAUUUUAUCGUUAUGAAAUUUAUGCUCCUGGUGGUAUUUGGGUUGCUGUCACCCUUGGAGAUCGAUACCAAUAUGUUUCUCAAGCUGAAGUUUGCUUUGUUGGAGGUAUUGCACCUCAGUACAUUCGAGCUUGUCUCAUAUUCACAGCAACACGUGAAGUCGGAUCAAGGUUGGAUUACAUCUCAUGUUAUAUUAUUUUUAUAAUCAUCUUAUAUCAUCCAUCACUAACUACAAGCUAUUAUAUUGUGCAGAUUUCCGAGAUUACAGAGAGAAAUAAGAUUGGUGAUAAACAGGAAUUUUAAUCCAAUGUCAUCUCCUUACGCUGAAGUUGUAGUUUAUAUUCCGGUGUACUGGUACACAGAUGAAAACGGUAAAAACAGAUACCUACCCGAAGAAAUUUAUCCGCCUAUGAGAAAGAAAAGAGAGACCUUGGAUGCUGAUGAGGAUGCUGCUCUUAAGUGGUAUACUAGUUCAGUUUUAGAGAUACCAAGUUAUAUAAAUUCUGCAUUGCGUUCAUCAAGAACAAAUGAAGUUUAUUUCUUCUUAAAAAAUAAGUAUGUGCGGGUGUAUUACACUCCUGGAGAGACAGGUGAUAAGAUUUUGACUGAUUUGCGUUGGAUUUAUGAUGGCUUUCCAUCACUUGUUGAUACGCCAUUUGGAGAAUAUGGAAUAGACUGUGCUUUCGACACUGAAGGCAACGAAGCAUACAUCUUCUGUACCAAACUUUGUGCCUACAUGGACUAUGCUCCAGGUACAACAAAUGACAAGAUUCUCUCAGGUCCUACCACAAUAACUGAAAUGUUUCCCGUCCUAAAAAACACAGUGUUUGAGAAUGGCAUAGACUCUGCAUUCAGGUCAACCCAAGGAAAAGAAGUUUACUUAUUCAAGGGCAAUAAGUAUGGUCGCAUAAAGUAUGAUUCCAAGCAGCUUGUUGGCACCAUUCGUAACAUCACUGAUGGAUUUCCUGUUUUGAAAGGUACCAUCUUUGAAAAUGGAAUUGAUGCGUGUUUCGCUUCUCACAAGGAGAAUCAAGCUUAUCUUUUCAAGGGAGAAAACUAUGUACGAAUCAUCUUCACCCCAGGUACUGCAGAUGACACUCUUGUGGGUAAUGUGAGGCCUAUCUUUGAUGGUUGGCCGCUUCUUAAAGGCAUUCUACCUCUCGACAAUAGAGGAGUUGAUGCUCAUCCUCAGUCUGGUCAGGAAAAACCAUAUCCCGAUCAGCAUGAUGAGCUUUGAAAAAAAAAAGAACAAGAUGCCAUAAUAUGAUAAGAAUAAGGCUUUCAUUGCCAAAGUUUGCUUCCUUUUCUUUCCUAAUGUAAUAAGUAUGGAUGCUUGUGUUUACUUUCUUGUAUGUGGAUAUAUGCUUUCCUUUCUUCUUGUAAUGCUAAUGGUUUAAUAAUAAAAGUGUGCUUUUUGGUUGAAUAAAUGAUUCUAAAUUUUUUCCUUUAAAAAAAUUACGGAGAUGUUUAUAGGUUCAUUUGAUUCCAGUGUAUGUUUUAAAGGCUAUGAUACGUAAACCCAAGUAAAAUGAUGUGAAGAAGAAAAAAAAAAAAUCUAAGAAAAUCAUUGAGGACUAUGUGAAUUCCAUAAAGUAUAAUCUAUUUUUUUUAUUAACAAUAAAUAAAUAUAUUAAAAAAUAUUUUAGAAGUAUCAUAACCCUUAUAAAAAUAUCAACAACCUCAUCAUCUUGUUUACGAAUUUGAAAAAACAUUACAAAUAUCAAUAAUAAAGUAAACAAAACCAAUACAUAUUCUUUUUUAGUCAUGACAAAGAAAAUAAAUAUUAAAUUAAUUAUUAAGAUAUUUAUGUAGGACUAUUAUCGAAUAAAAGGGAUGCAAAAUUGGGUUAUUCCAUUUUUUUAUAUACAAACAUUCUACUUCACAUAUUUUUUCAAUCGUUUAGUGUUCUUGUUCACACAAACAAUAUCCUAAGGACCACACAUCACAACAUAUGAAUUUCCAUUAACUUAACAUUAAUUUUGAUAAAUAUAUGAUGUUCAUACAAACCAUAUCAAUGUAACAACUGUACCAAAAUUGAUUGCAGGUCCCAAACAAAUACAACACGUGAAAAAAUACCACUAGCAGUGUGGAUUCUUUAGCAGAUAUAUACGUAUAUAUAUACACUGCAAUAAUUUUCUUAAAAAUACAUCGUUAAGAUAAAAUUCUGUUUUCAAUUUUUUAUUAAUAUAAAGUAUACACACAAAAUAAAAUAAUAAAUACCAUUAUAAAAUAAAUAAAUAAAUAUUGAAAGAUAAAAGUUAGAAAUGUCUGAAUUCGAAAAUGAAAAGAAAUAGAAAACAGAAAACGUAUUGAAUUUGAUAGCUUAUCCGAGGACCACACGUUACAUGAUUAUCUUUUUGUAAUUUCUAUAAUUUCAUUUUAUCUUUUUAACGUAUUUCACAAUUUGUUUAAUAAUUAUAAUAAAUAAUUAUAAAAUUGAAAGAAUUAAUGUUAUGGCAACAUCAUAUAUUUAUCAAAAUUAAUGUUUAAGUUAAUGGAAAUUCAUAUGCUGUGAUGUGUUGUAACGACUUUAUAAUAUGUGAAGUAGAAUGUUUGGGACCAGUCCUCUAUCUGGUUUGUAUGAAAAAAGAGAGUAAAAUAACCCAAUUUUGCAUGCAUUUUAUUCGAUCAUAAUCCUACUUAAAUAUCUUAUCUUUCAUCAUAAAUAAUCCUACAUAAUUAUAUUCAACUCUUAUUUUUCAAUAUUUCUUACAUUAAGUAAGACAAUUUAAACUAUAAAUUCUAGAGUUGAUAAUUAAACUUUUGAUAAUUAAUUAUAUAUCAAUUUUAAAAUAUUUACCAAACAAAUUGAAUUGUAUAUCUUGUCCUAUAUAAAAUUUAGAGGUUUCUCAAUUGUAUUUUUCCUUUAAUUGUAGUUUGGACACUAUAUCAGCUGCUUAUUAACACUAGCUCCAACUUUUGAUCACCAAAUCCGAAUCAUAACGCGGAGCUGAGUGUCAUGGAAUACGAAUUGCAAUAAAGAACUACCACCAUGUUGGAAAUCUCACAUCGACUAGAGAUAAAGACAUUUCAUAAUAUAUAAAUGGGUGCAAAUCUCACUCCUUCAUUGAGCCGGUUUUAUGAGGUUGAGUUAGGCUUAAAACCCACUUCUUAACAUGGUAUCAGAGCCAUUUCGAACCUAUCCUAUCCUAACGAGUAUUUGUUGGGUUUAUCUGUCCACCCGCUAUCGGGCCGUUACCAGACCACCCAUAACAUAUAUCUCCACGCACGAGUUGGUAGCCUCGGCGUGAGGGGUGGGUUGGAAAUCCCAUAUCGACUAGAUAUAAAGACAUUUCAUAAUAUAUAAAUGGAUGCAAACCUCACUUCCAUGAGCCGGUUUUAUGGAGUUGAGUUAGGCUUAAAGCCCACUUCUUAACACACCAAACCAGAAUAGUUGCACCAUAAACUGACAUUGACUGACAACACCCCUUUGCACCAUCCAGAACAGCAUAGGAUACUUGAAAGGAGCACUAAACCAGACCAUAAACAACACCCCUUUACACAUACCUUCUUUUUAUGCAUAAAAUGGGAUUCAAAUGCCAUUCCGAAUAAGAAAAAGUGAAAGAAACCUUUAUUUCAACCAUAACGAGGAUCUCAGCUGUGCCAUUUGGAAUAUUUCUUCUGCAUCAGAUACUUCUUAGCCACCCAUACACCUUUCCACACUAUAUUCUCUGCUUAGUGCUCAAGUGAAUAAGGCAGAUACUAUGAGUGGAAAUUUCAAGUUUGUUCAUGUUGUGGUAAAUCAAUUGCUAGAAUAUAAUUAUUUCUUUUAAUUUUUUUGUUGCUUGAAUAACUUAAGCCUCAUUUCUUUUCUUCUCAGGAAUCUGAAAUUAAAGAAAUAGAAGAGAAGCAGGUAUAGUCAAUUUGAUUUAGGUCACUACUGCAUAAUUUGAUUUUUUGUGUUAUUAUGCUUUAUCUGUGAUUUACUAGCAGAUAUAUGUGUGUAUAUAUAGAAACUGCAAUAAAUUUCUUAGAAAUACAAGUUAAGAUAAAAUUAUGUUUUCAACUUUCUCUGUUUUUAAUAGUUAUUAAAUUUAGUAUUAGCGUAAUCAAUGCUAAACUUAACUUUUUUUAAUAUUUGUAUUUAAUUUAAAUCAGUAUCGGUUAACGUUAAUAUUAUUUAUUGUUAAUAUUUAUUUAAAUUAACAUAAUCUAACUGAAGUUACUCUAACAUUUUAAUAUUUAUAUAAAAAUUUGAAUCGACUGAUACGAUGUGUGAUUUUAUGCAGGUUUUGUACUGUUGUCUUGUGAGUAUCGUUUCUGUGCUGGUAUGGUUGAGAAGGGAUUGCUUCUUUUUGCAGGUUCUACAAGUGGAGAAAGUAAGAGAGAAAUAAUGAGGCAAGAAAGCAAAGCACAUCAAUGAACAAGAUUGGAACAUAUGAAUCAAUGAUGACAAGAAGUGCUUAGCAGAUUAGUUUAAAAUACACACAUAUCUGUUAAACCAAACCACACAACCACACACUUUUUAUUUAUAAUAUGAAAAUAGGAAAGACAAACAUGCAGAGUUGCUACAUUAGGAAAAGGAAAGAGGCUUUCAAUCCUAAUGUUACAUUAAAGAGACAGAAACAAACGUUUGCAAUGACAGCCUUAUUUCUAGCAUAUUAUCAGAUCAUGCUUUUUGAUGGAGAGUGAAGCCUUCUUUAGCUGAUAGGCAAAAUGCCUCUAAGACAUGUCCAACCAUCAAGGAUAGGCCUCACUUCACCCACAAUACGGUCACCACUUGUACCUGGAGUGAAUUUGAUACGAACAUAUUUCUCUCCUUUGAAAAGGUAAGCUUCAGACUCCUUAUGGGAACAAAAACACGCAUCAAUUCCACUUUCAAAGAUCGUACCUCUCAGAAUAGUAAACCCAUCAGCGAUGUUACGAAUGCUGCCAAUAAGCUGCUUGGAAUCAUAGUCUAUGCGAGUAUACUUAUUGCCCUUGAAUAAGUAAACCUCUUUCCCUUUGGUUGAUCUGAAUGCAGAGUCUAUGCCAUUCUCAAACACUGUGUUUGAGGACGGGAAACAUUUGAGCAAUUGUGGUAGGACCUGAGAGAAUCUUGUCAUUUGUUGUGCCUGGAGCAUAGUCUAUGUAGACACAGUAUUUGGUUGAGAACACAUAUGCUUUACUCUCUUCGGUGUCAAAGGAACAGUCUAUUCCAGGUUCUGCAAAGAACGAUGCAGUAAGUGAUGGAAAACCACUACUAAUCAAACGCAGAUUAGUCAAAAUCUUAUCAUCUGAUUUUCCUGGAGUGUAAUACAGCCGCACAUACUUAUCCUUCAUGAAGAAAUAGACUUCAUAUUCUCUUGAUGAACGAAAUGCAGCAUUGAUGUAAGCCAUCUUUCUUAACACAAGAGAGAGAUAUAUGAUUUGAUUUGAGGAUGCUUACAUUCCUCCCAGAGGCACCUAUUUAUACUGUUAUGGAGUUGGAACUUCUUUACUAUUGGUAAUGGAAAGGAAAUCAUAAAGAUUCUAUGACAACAUAAAAAAAUAUAAAAAAAAGAAUUCGCAUUAUUGGUGCAGCAUGUCCUCUCUGUUUUUUUAUUCUCUUAUUUAUGCAUGUGCUGUUUGCCAUUAAACAUAAACAAAUGUUACUAUCAUAGAAUAUUUACACUGUUACCUCAGUUUCAAUACAUAGAUUACUGUGUUAUUUAAACCAUGUGCUGUUUGUAUAAACUCGAUAAGUUUAGCACUAUCAUAGGAUAUUUUGAUUUGCAAUAUAUAAAUAUAUAUGUUAAUUUAAAAGAUGAGUGUUUAACAGACAAUUUAAAAUUACUUUAAAUGGUUAUAAAAUUAUAAAAGAGACUGGUAUACGUAAACUCAAUAAACAAUUCAAUUAUGUGUUCCAUUCCAUAUGAUAUCUUAAUUAAUUAAUGAUGUGUAAUCAAUUAUAUUCAUGAGAAUAAUAUUCUAAUAUGUGUUUUUAGGAGGCAAUAGUACAUAUUUUCACGUGGAUCAGAUAAUUUUGUUUAAUUGGUCGUGGAUCUCAAAACCUGAGCAAAGAACACAAACCACAAGGUGGCCUAUUACUUUAAAAUUAUUUGUAUGAAUAAUACUUCAUAAUUGACACGAGUAUUAAACAAAAUUAUUAAAUAAAAAACAAUUUUAAAGAUUAAAAUAAUUAAUUAAUUGAUUAAAUUAGAAACUAUUUUAUAAAUUAAAAACGUUAAUAUUUAAAAUAAUUUUUAUUAUCAAUAAAAAAAUAUAAUUUAAAAAAAAAAACUGAUAUCUAAUUAUUAAUUAUUAAAAUUUUAACAUAUUUUAAAUUAAUUAUUUUUAGUGUUUUAAAAAUUAAUUUAUAAUUUAAAUUAUUUCUUAGUAAAUAAAAUCUUCAUAACUAAUUUAAAUACUAGUUUAUAAAAUUUUAUUAAUAAAAAACACUUUAUAUAUUAAUAACUUUUUAUUUCUAAAAUAAUAUAUAAUUUAAAGUUAAUACAAUUUUUAUAUUUAAAUUUAAAUAUUAUUUAAUAAUCUUUUAGUGUGAUAUGCAGGCAUAAGUCCAUUUUAUAUAUAUUUUUAUCCUAUAUUAUAUUUGCAUAACAUAAAUGUCAUCAAAGUAUAACAUUUAUGAUACUAAUUAAUACUCUCGUAGUUAUAAACAGCCUCGUAAAAAAGAGAAAGAACAAAAUUCUCUGUUUAAAAACAAAUAUAAUAGUUACAAAUGAUAUUGUUUAAUUGUUUCCUAUAUCUAAGAACAUAGUUUUUUUUCCAAUUUUAGUAAUUAUUUUACUAAAAUUAUCAUAGUAAAAAAUAUCAAUUAGAAUUAGCUUCUAAAUAAUAGCAUAAAAAAUGUAACAUUAUUAAAACCCACUAAGUAAACUUUAACAUGAUCUAAAAGAUUAACUUUUUUUGUGUAAAAAUGUAAAAUUAUUUUUAAAUAUAUUGUUUUGUGUUAAAAAUGUAAAAUUAUUUUUAAAUAUAAUUUUAUAUUAUGUAAAGUGUGUGUAUUGGUUAAGUUGAUGCUUAAUAUGAUAAUAUAGUCAACCUAACUAAUUAUGAGUUGAGGUUAAUUUUUUAAAAUUUGUAAAAAUAUUUUUGUUAAUGUCAAAUUAGUAAUAAAUUAAUUAACAUUCACUCAAAUAAAUAUUAAAAACAAAUUAAUAUUAAAAAUGUAUUUAAUUUAAUAUCGGUUAAAUUAACAUUAAAUUAAAUAACUUUUAUAAAGUAAAAAACAGAUGGACGUCAAUUUAGCUAACAUUAAACUAUUUUAAUUAAAAAUUAAUUUAAAAAUGAAUGUUAGAGUUUACUUAACUAGCACUAAUUAGAAUUGUAAAACUUGACACUAAUGAACUAGUAUUCAUAGUUUUAGAGCCUGUUACAUAUAUAAUAUAAAUUUAUCACUAUUAAUUAAUUAAUCCUAAUUUUUACUUGUUAGAAUCGAUUUUUAGUGAAGUUAAAUUUAUAUUUUCUUAUAGUGAUUUGAGUUAUAUAUAAAAAAAAUGAAAUCAACUUCUUCAAUUAGAUAUAUUUUGGGGUUUGAAUUUUAACAAACAUUAUAUUUUCUAAUUUGGUAUAAAGUGUGUUUAGUUUAGGAUGUAUCUUGAAAUUUUUGUAGGUGAAUUUAUGAUAUAAUAAUUAUGAACUUUUAAUUUUAUUUUUAAUCUAACAAUAAAUCUCAUGGCUUCUUUAUUCAGGAUUGCAAGUUAUAUUACAAAGAGUACUUUAUUUUUCAAGAUUGUAAGUUAUGUCACAAAGUAAUAAAUACAUGCUUAUGUAGACUAGCCUUAAGGAAAUGGAAAGUUAGGUCUCAUUCCUUCCAAACAAGACUCAUACAAGAAUACGAAAUGGUUAAAUCUGGUUUAGGAUUUAGGGUUUAGGAUUUAGAGAAAUGGUUAAGUCUGGUUUGAUUAGUACUCAUGAUUUUCCAAUAAAGAUCCUAGUUAGUGCAAACUAAUCUAAGUAUCCAAACUACAUAUGUUCAAUUUCUAUAUUUUUUUUUUAAAUCCAUCAAAAUUCAAUCCAGAUGUAAUAAAAUAGAUUGAAUCUAAAAUCCAUAUUAUUUUUGGUAGAGUAAAUUUAUUUGGAUUUUUCAAAUCCAUUUAAAACACACUAAAUUUAGAUCUACUUUGUCAAUUAGAUUAAAUUUUUUAUGAGAUCGACCUGGCGUGGUCAACUCAAUCCAACCUUGGUAGACUUGACUCGACCUACCUUAGGUCGACUCAGCUUGACAUAACCUAACCCAACUCAAUUCGACCUGGCCCCAUAUCGACUUGGCUUAGCCUGGUCCAAGCUGAUUAAGCUCGAAUCGGGCCCAAGCCGACUCGGAUCGACCUAGAUCUGACUUGACUUGGCUCGAGUUGGGCCAAACGUGUUGACCUGAACUCAGGCCGACUCGACUCGACCUUGAAUCGCACCGACUUGGCUUUUCCUAAACCUGGGCCAACUCAGCUCGACCUGGAUCUGGGUUGACUUGGCUCAACUUGGCCUCGGGUCGACUUGGCACGACAUGGAACAUGUUCGACUAGCCUCGAACUAGGCCUAUGCCCAGGCUGACUUGGAACUAGGUUGAUUUAGCUAGACUUGGGCUUGGGCAGACUCAACUCGACAUGGGACCAUACAAACUUGACUCGACCUGGGCCUGAACCGACUUGGCUCAAACCUGGAUUUGGGCAAACUCGGCUCGUCAUGGGGCCUAAGCCGACUCAUCUUGAAAUGGGUUCAAGUUGACUCGACUUGACCUGGUACCAAGACAACUUGGCUCGACUUGAUCCCAGAAUGACUCUGCUCUACAUAAGCCCAUGCUGACUCAACUCGACAUGGGGUCAUGUUGACUCAGCUCAACUUGGUACUAGGUCGAUUCAAGUUGACUUGGGCCUGAACCAACUCGGUUGAUAGAGGCUCGACUCGACUUGACUCAACAUGGGCCAAGACUAACUUGGCUCGACUUGGGCCUAAACAGACUCGGAUGGACAUGUGUUCGAAUCGACUCGACUCCACCAGGACCUAAGUUGACUCAACUGGACCUGGACCUGGACCUGGACCUGGGUCGAAUCAACUGCACUGGGUCAGAUAGGCUUUACCUCAACAUGCAUUGACUCUACUCCACAUGGGCAUGAACCCACCCAUCUCUAUCUGGGUCCAUGCCAUCUCAGCUCGACAUGGGUACGGGUUGACUCGACUCGAUUCAGGCUGGGGUUGAGACAGCUCGACUCGGGCCCGGAUCGACUCGGCUAGACCUGGUCCCGUGUCAUGUUGGCUCGACUUAGACUGGAUCGAUUUGACUCGAUCUAGACCAAAGUCGACUUGACUCUCAAAUCAACUUAGCUCGACUUGAGUCCUGGUUUACUACUCAACCUAGGUUCGAAAUGACUCAAAAUCCAUCACAAAAAUCAUUUUGGAUAAUUAAAAAUGUAUUCAAUGUAUAUCUAAUACAAAUCUAUUUAAAUGAAUUGAAUUUAAAUCCAAAAAAUAUAUUUGAAUUUAAAAUCUAAAAAAUAAUUUUGGAUUUAAAAUAAAUAUAUUUAAAUGGACCUAUAAAAAAUAUUUUUUUUGAAUAAUUAUGAAUUACAAUUUAAAUUUUUUACUCACCCUAAAUUAUAAAAAGUAUUUAAAAAUAUGUUUUUAAUUUCCUUUUCUAUUUUUUCUUGUAUAUUUUUCUAUGUAUCUUUUUAUAUAGCAUUAAAAUUGUAUUUUAAAUUAUUUUUCUAUUUAUUUUAGCCAUGUAAUAUCUGUCGUAGUGAGAUAGGUAGUGAAAAAAUGAUUUUAAAGAGAUAAGUACUUUAUAAAAGAACGGUUUUAAAGUGAGGUAAAAUAGUGAAUGGUUAUACAAUUAUACAACAAAUUGGUACAUUGAAUAUUAAAUAACAACUUAUGCGUUUUACAUUGGAUGCACUAAUAUAUUCACUAAGUACAAGAAAAUAGAUUUAGUUCAUAUGGUAAAAAAAGAUUAUGAGAUAUUAUGAUAUACUAGAAUUUAGUUUAUGAACACAUGACUAUCUCUAAUAUGGUAAAAAAAGAUUAUGAGAUAUUAUGAUAUACUAGAAUUUAGUUUAUGAACACAUGACUAUCUCUAAUAACCGAUGGCAUGGAUUAACGUUAUAUUAUAGAUAUUUUUACUUAUAUUUAAUAAAUAAAUAUUAAUCAAUAUCUUUUAAUAAAACUUAUCAAUAAUAUUGAUAAAUCUAAAAUUUAUUGUAAUAAUAGCAUAAAAAAACAUAAAUUCUAACUUAAAAAACAUGGUGAUAAAUCUAAAAUUUAUUGUAAUAAUAGCAUAAAAAAACAUAAAUUCUAACUUAAAAAACAUGGUGAUGGAUUAUUCAAGAAGUUUAUAAACGUCUCUUCCAAAAUUAAAUUAGUAGAUCUAGGAGUUUUGUAAUACACUAUAAAUAAGAUAAUUAAAUGAAAAUUCAAUGAAGGAAUCAUUUAAACAAUAUGAAAACAUACAUAUCAUUUUCUACUACCAUGUCAUGCAAAUGACAUGAACAUUUAACCAACAAUUGAAUUUAUUUAAUCAAAUAUUUAAACUUGGUUAACUGCUAUUUUUUUUUUUCACAUGCACAAAAUUGUUACUUCACGUAUGUAAUAGUUGGGUUAGUCAUAAUUAUUGAAAUUUCACAAAGCCUACCUAGGAUAAUGUUUGAAUGUGUUGCAUGAUUUAACCAGAAACACGUACUAGUUUAAUCAAAGUAUUUUAUUCUACACAAAAAUAAUAAAUAAAUUUCAUAAUCUCACUAUAACCAUGUCUACAAUAACAAGAAACAUAAAUAAAAAAGCUUUAAUCAAAGAUAAAUUAAAAAGUAAUCACUAUAACCAUGUCCACAAUUAAAAAUAUAAAGAAUUUCAACUUAUUUCUUUAUAAUUAAAAUUUAACUGUAUUUAAUUAAAAAAAUCCAAUUAAUCUCAUAAAAAUCUAAAAUUUAAAAUUUACUAAAAAAAUUCUGACCCUAAAAACCAAACAAGAUAUUUUUGGAUAGUUAUUUUAAAUUUUUAGAAAAAUAAAUUACCAACUUAAAAAUUUCUAUCAAAAAGAGACUAGUAAGGUUUGUUCAGUUAAAAACUUUUUGGGGUUUUGAAAAUAAGAAUAAAAUUUCAUUGGAACUUUAAUUAAUUAGUUAUGUUAAGAAUUUAAUUUAUAGCACCCUCGCAAAUUUGAUGAUUGUGAUAAUCUUCAGAGUUUAAUAUGAUGGUUCCAAAAAAGUUGAAAUCUAUUUUACUUAUUGUUAUAUACACUUGACAAUCAAUUUCAAGAUUUAAUAUGGUAAUUAGAAAAUUUUCAAGUUUAUUUUUUUAUAUUGAAGUUUCAUUACAAGUAUCCACAAUUAUGAAAACAACUCUUAAAGUCUAAUUUCUUAGUUAAGAAAAGCUGAAGUCUCUUUUUUACUUAUAUAUUACAUGAAAGAGAUUUUAAUUAAUCUUACAAUUAUAAUUAAUAUGCUGUAAAAUAUUUUCAAAAACUAUAAAGUUUACAUACAUACAUAACUUUCUUAAAAUUCAAAUAAAAUAUAAAUAUUUAAUUUAAAUAAAUUCUUGCACGAAUUUAAAUCUAGUAAAUUGUGAACAUAUAUUUUUACUAAUUCGAUUUUAAAAAUAUAGAUAAUAAUUAUAAAAUCUAGUAAAUUAUGGGCCUUAAAAUUUUAAAGAGUCUUACGGGCCUCCACCAGAACCCAUUUUUGUUUUUUUCUAAAUUACGACACAAAAGUUUGGGGUUUUGGCCCAUUCAUCACAGCCCAUGUUCCUUUCUUUAUAAUUGCAUAACAUUGGGGGUGCAGGAAUAGAAAACGUAGGGCUGCAGGAAGAAAUUAUCUCUUUAACCACACAAACGUAUGUGCUUUUGGCCCAUUUAUCACAGCACAUGUUCCUUUCUUUAUAAUUGCAAUUUCAACAAAACCCUAACUUCAAACCUUCACUCCUCCUUUCAUCACUUCGGCAGUCACAGAACCUCUUAGCCGAAAAUGGUGAGUUUCACCAACCCUUUUACAUUUUCUAUCUACCUUACGAUUUUUCUGCAUCUGGGUUUUCUGGUUUUAAUGAAAAAAUUGUUUCUUUGUUUUCUUUUCUGAUCUGUGUUGCAGCCUUUCAAGAGGUACGUUGAGAUUGGAAGGGUGGCUCAGGUCAACUACGGCAAAGAGUAUGGGAGGCUAGUAGUCAUUGUCGAUGUUAUUGACCAGAACAGAGUAUGUUCUUUUGUUUUGCCUUCUUUGAUUUGUUGCAUUUUCGUUGGAUUGGAUUUUUGUAGUGCGUGCCCUAUUCUUUGUCUUGGUUUCUUGUGAGGUUUGGGAGUAGAAAAAGCCUAAUUUAUGAUCUUGGUGUUGAUAAAUUUCUACAUGAAUUUCGUUGCCGCAUAAUUUGUUCUGAACAGUAGUUUUAGGUUUUAGAUUUUUUAUUUUGUUGAGGAUGUUGGUUUUGCUUAGUUUUAUGUUAAUUGAAUCUCAAGGUUUUCUCUAUUUGUGCAUUAGAACAAUUUGAUAAUGCCAAAUUCCAUUGAAGGGGUUAUAGUCGUUUACCAUGUUUGUUUGAUGAUGGUUUGUUUUAUUUUUUUCUCUUUUGUGAAGCCUAUAUUUUUUUCCUCAUUGUAUUUAAACAGGGUCAUAUCCCUUUAGGCUUUGUUGUAUAUUUGUAUUUUUUCAGCAUGAACUAAAUUUGGCUCUUUUUAUCGAUUUGGUUUGUGGGAAUAUAUAAUAUCAAGUUCGUAUUAAGAGGAGUUAGAACUGUCAAUCCCACUGAGAACUUCAAUGAGCGGAUUUUGUUUUUCCUAUUUGGCGAAGUCAUUGGCUUUUUUAGAUGCAUUUUAAUUGAAUCAUAUAUGCUUUGUUUGUAUACUUGUGUUUUUGCUCGGUCAACAAAAUGAAAAAUUAUGCUAUUUUUUUUGGGGGUUUUGUUAUUAACGUGGCAUGCAAUAGAAUCAAAUUGCAUUAAGAUUUAGAGGUGUGCAAUUUUUUUAAGUUGAAUGUGGUUUUGGUUAUUUGACUUUGAGAUCAUUUAGCAUAAUUUUCUACCACCAUUUGUUGAUAGGCUCUUGUGGAUGCUCCCGACAUGGUGAGGUCCCAAGUGAACUUCAAGAGGCUGUCACUCACUGACAUCAAGAUUGAUAUCAAGAGGAUUCCAAAGAAGAAGGAUCUCAUCCAAGCCAUGGAUGCUGCUGGUUGGUACACGUUUUUUAGAAUAAAUUGUUAUUUAAUUUGAAGCAUUCCUUUUGUUGAUGGGUGUUUUUCCUUGCUGAACAGAUGUUAAGAACAGGUGGGAGAAGAGUUCAUGGGGAAGGAAACUGAUUGUGCAGAAGAGAAGAGCAUCUCUCAAUGACUUUGACAGGUUCAAGAUUAUGUUGGCAAAGAUCAAGGUUGGUUUCAUUCUACAUGACUAUUCUCACUGUUUCAAUUUUGGUAUUGCUCUUCUAAUAGUUUGUGAAUUGGCUUUUAUGCAUAGCAAAAUCCAAGUGUCUGUACUAUUGUGUUGUCAUAUCAUUUUGGCUUUGAAGUUAAUUUACAAUUUUUGUUUCAAUUUGUGCAGAGGGCAUCAGUUGUUAGGCAAGAGCUUGCUAAGCUGAAAAAGAGUGCUUAGGCAUAAUUCCAUGUGCAAUUUCCUAAUUUUGUUAUGAAUUUCUUUCAAUUUAGUUUACUUUGGUUACAUGGGUUUUAUUAUGUAUCAUUGACAGAUUUUCUAGAAAUUUUUAUUGAGAUCCUUUAUGUUACUAGUGGAUUGAUGCCUGUUUUCGUAAUCUCAUUGUUAUAAUAUGGGGUGCCUAUUUUUGCACUGUUCGAUUAUUGGUUUUUGACAUUAUUAAAAAUACCUUUUGCUACAAUGCAAAUGUUAUCAGAAAUUGUUUUUUAUUUUUCUCAUUAGGAUUUGAUCAUUUUUUUCUUUUGUUUUUUGUUUUAAAUUUUAAUAUUUCUGUUCCUUGGUAAUUGGUUGUUCACGGUUGUGGUGUAAAUGAUUCAAAAUUAUGUUUUUUACCAAAAUUGUAUCAAUUUUUAUCAAAUAGAGUAGCAUUUGCAAAAGUUUAGAUUUGGUUUUGAUUUCAAAAUUGUUUCAAUGUUGUUUCUCCUUAAUUGAAAACUAGUGUGUGAAUUUUACUUUUUAAGAAUAGUCAUUUGUUAAAGGGGUGGACAAGAAAUUAAUUUUAAUCCUACAGAUUCUUAAAGGUGUGAGAAAGAAUAGAAAAUUUAAAAUUCAAUUUGGAGGUUGUAAAUGUUUUGGGACUUCAUUUACGUUUCUUAAAUGAAUUACUAUAUUUUUGAACAAUUAUCAAAUGAAACGUUUAUGAUGUUAUUUAUUACAUUUUAAAUCACAUUAUGUCAAAAUUUAAUAUUUAUAUAUUUAUAAAUUAAAAGAAAAUAUAUUUGUUAUAUGUUUUUUUCGAAUUUUAUUUAUUUAUUUAAUUUAAAAUUUUCUAUAUAUAGUAAAAAUUAGGAACCUUCUCAUCAUUUACUUUUUUUGAAUUGAAAAAUCCUAAUUGGAUUAUUCAUAUAUACAAAAAUAUUAACUGAGUACAAUUAUGUCUAUUAAAUAGGCAGAGCAUCGAGUACAAGUGUUAAAUAAGCUAUAAUUUAAUAUGGUCCAACAUAGAUAUAAUGAUUCGGCUUUUUAAUCCGAAAAAAAUAUGAUUAUAUGAUUUUUUAUUUUAUGAAAUAAUAAUAUCAAGUAAAGACUUAAUGAUUUUUCGGAUUGAUUUAUUUUAUAAGCUUAAUUUCAUUGUUUAAUUUAUUCUUUAACAAUAAUACAUUUUAAUACUAAUUGUCAAUUUAUAUGAUAAAUUAAUAAUUGUUUGAAAAAAGAAAGUAAUAAUUGUUAUUAAUGAAAAAUAUUAGUAAUAAAUUAAUGAUUUUAAAUUGUUAUUUUUUUAUCACUAGACGACUCAGCUAGAUAAUAUUAGUAAUAAACCUAUAUAAUAUUGUGUUAUUUUUUAAUACUCAACUACUCAUUUUUUUUUCCAGAAUAUAUUACAUCGAAUAAAAUUAUUAUUUAGAUAAAAAAAAAAUUAAUCAUUAUAUUUAAUUAAAUUGAAUAUUAUUUUAUAUAAAAAACUACUAUUUAAAGUUAAUUUUACUAUUAAUAACAAUUUACAAAAUAAUUUUUAAACAUUAACAUUUUAGUUACUAACUACUUUAAAACUAAUAAUUUAAUUUAAACUUAAUUAGUAAUUAAAAUAUUGAUACUAAUAUUAAAUAUCAAUUUAAAAAUAAUUUUAUAAAUUUUUAUUAACAAUAAAAUUUAUUUUAAAUAUUUAAUAAUCUUUUAAUUUAUAAAAUAGCAUCUAAUAACACUGAUUCUUUUCUUUAAAUGGAAGAAAAUUUGAAAAAAAAUAUGGUGCUAAACAAAAUUGAAUAUGCAAGUUUCACUAAAUGAAAUUAUGUGGGGAUGAACUAAAUAAUUAACUCGAAAAAACAAAUAAUUGAAAUGGUUGCACCUAUAAUCAUGAUUGAAAAAGGACACGUAAAUGGCAUUAAAGUAUGCAAUAGGUAGAUAUUAAAGCAUAUUGAUGUCAGUUUCUGAAAAAAUAACACCCCAAUUCCACACCACUGUUUCUUACUUGUUUCAUAAAUACUAUUUAUUUAUAUUUUAUCCUUUCAUUUUUUUCUUUUUUCUUUAGGGUUCUAAGCUCUGUUAACUUCAUAACUUUGGCAAGAAUCAUGGCAUGAGGCAUGCAACAAGAAAAAAAUUAAAUUAAAUGUCUUAUACGUCUCUCUCUCAACUCAAUUUUAUAAGUAAUAAAAUGUAUAAAUUUGGUGGAUAAUUUUAAUCAAUUCAACCCACUUGUUUUUUUAGAGUCUUGUUUAGGAUACUGUUUAAAAGGUUUAAAAAAAAAAAUAGAAAUCAUAAAGAAUUUUUUUCGCCUAUACUAAGAAAAUGAUUGACAUUUUUGCUUUUAAGUUAUAUUUGAAUCUAAAAAAAUCAAGACAGAUAAACUACAUCUUGUCUUUGUCUUGAGGAUAACUAAGAAAACAAAAUUAUUUAAACUAGAAUCUAAAUUUUACUUAAUUUUAUUUAACGAACUUAUAAGAUAAAAUUUGUACUAUUUAUAUAUUAUGAAAUAAUUUAAUUUGUAGUUAAUAAAAAAUCUUUAACACAUUUUUUCACUUUAUAUGUUAAUAAGUUAAAACUAUUAACUGAAACUAUAUAUUAUUGAAUAGAACUAUAUAUUAAUGAAUCAUCCGAUAGUAAUUCAAUAUAUAGAAGGUAACAAUAAAAUUAACAAACUUUUUUUUUUUCAGAUGAGAUAUAUAAAAUUAAUAAUAAGUUUAAUUUAACUUUCAUCUCAAAUGUAUAGCUGAGGUUAAAACCAAGUUUUUAAUCUUAAAAUAACUUAUACUAAAAAAUUCUUAAAACAACUGAAUCUUUAAUUUUACUAAUAAAGACAUUUCAUACAUACUGUAUUCUCUUUAACUAAAACAACUUAAUCUAAUAUUAAUAUUUGUAGUUGUUGUUUUUAGUGUAAUUGAAUUCCUUGUUUUUUGUGCAGGACGGUUACUGCAUAUUCAAAACUUUCUCCUAACAGAUAAUAAAAACCAAUUAAUUUUUUGAAUAGAGCAGCUACUACUACCUUACACAACACCUCUAUUCAAUAUGCAACCACCCAGCCAAAAGAAUAAAUUGCCUCACAUCUUUUUUUCAUCUCAAAACAUUAACAAAUAUGGGAUUAAGAGAGUUUCAUAUAACCCUUAAGGUAUGUCCAUUCUUCAUUGUUCUAUUGAGGUUAUUUGAAGUUCAUCACAAAUAAUCAUUACCUUUACACAUUUUCUUGUAGCUAAGAACAAACCUUUAGAUAUAGUUACAUAUAUUUAAUGAAUCUUUCAUACUGCAAAUUAGUGAGAUGAAGCUCUAAUCUUGAUUGAAGAAACAAAACCAAAAGUACCUGAGUUUUGUUGUUUUGGUAAAUGCUUGUUCAUAUGAAUGAAUGGUAAUCUUUCCAUUGACUUGAACAGGCAUUUCGGGUGAAACGUUUUUUCUUUGGAAGAAGGAGAAAUAAAUGGAGUGCAAACAAGCCUUCAUGGAUGAUUCCAAUAUCACAUGGCCAUCAUGUGGUGGAGCAUCACGUGAUCAAAGGUGGUUCUGAUGACUCAGAGUUUGAUUCAGUUGUGAUACAGAGGGAACAGAUGGAUCACACAGAACUGUGGUAUUUUGGAAUUUUUGAUGCUGUAGUUGGAGAUGGAGUUACCAAGUAUGUGCAAUCCCAUUUCUUUGGCAAGAAGCUCAAAGAGGUGAGAAAUCAAUAUAAGUAAUAAUGCUCAUGAAUGGUUAUUAGUGGCAUAUAUUCUCAUUUAUCAAAUUUAGACAUUCAUUAUGAAAGAGAGGUAGAGAACAAAGCUUAAAAUUUCAAUUUGGCUUCAUAGAUUUUAUUACUCAAUUAUCAUUAUAUUAUACAUUUCCAGUAAAAUGUGUGGAAAAAAGCUGAUAGCUAUAUAUGCAAUUAAGCCAAAUAUCCACAAUACUUCACCUAAGGAUUAUUCUAAGAUGAUCAUCUAUAUUUCUGGCCUCUGGUGUGUUUGUGAUGUUUCAACUACAUGUUAGUGUCAUAUGAGGAGAAAGAGCAAAGAAACACUGAAGAGAGCUUACCUCGGUGUGAGAACAAAGAUCAGAGAGGCACUGAAGCCAGAGGAGGAGAUAUGCAGAAUAGGUUCAACAUCAGUGAUGGUGAUAAAUGGAGAAAAGCUUGUGAUAGCCAACAUGGGAGAUUACAGAACUGUUUUGUGCAGAGAUGGUGUUGCUUAUCAGACAACUGGCAGAUACAAUCAAUCAGCCAAGAGAAACUGGUACAACAAACUCUUCUCAGGUAUCAAUCACUCACAUAUUUUUUUCAUUAUCAUUUGAAAGAUCCAAUCAAGAACAUUUCAUUAUAUACAUGUGGAUGCAAACAUAAAUCACAUAAAUCUUAUAAACUGGUUUUAUGGGUUGAGUAAGGUUAAAGUAUACAUAUUAAUUUAUUUGUUUUUGUUCACAUAUCUCAUAAUGAAUGCUAUGCAUGUGCACAAAAGCACGCACGAUUGCUUGUGAAUCAGGCAACACAACAGGCACAAAGCAUUCUAAAGGCUCAGAACUUGUGGUGGGAGGUGAUAGAAUCGACUCUGAUACUGAAUUUUUGAUCCUAGCAAGCAAUGGCAUAUGGGAAGUAAGUCCUAGAAGAUUAGGUAACUCAUAACCAUAGUUGGUCACUAGAAAACAGUGGAUCAUGAAUCUCAAUAUGUGUUUGCAGGUGAUGAAGAACCAAGAGGCUGUGAAUCUCAUAAGACACAUAGAAGAUCCACAAGAAGCAGCUGAUUGCUUGGCAAAGGAAGCUUUGAUUAGGAUGAGCAGAAGCAAAAUUUCAUGCUUAGUCAUUCGCUUUGACUGAUAUGUCACCAUAGUUGGUUUAUCCUAGUUGCAGCAGUUGCAGCACUGUAGAGAGCACUUUAUGAGUUCAAUACACAACUAGAUUAUCAAGGUGUUUGCAGAUUCAUCAUCUCAAAACUCAAGAAAAAUGGGCCUAGUAAUGACCAAUGUGGUUGAUGAAAAAUUAAGUAUUUUUUUUUCUGUAAUUCAUAAGUGAUUUGCACUAAUGUUUACAGAUUUUUUUUAUAAGCUAAUUUGGUUUACAUUACUAUUUAAUUACUACUUUAAUGUAAUUUUAUUUAUAAUACAUAUUAUUUGACAUACACAAAAUAAAAUGAACCAACUCUAUUUUGAUACUUCAUCCUGAAUUAUUAUAAAAACCAGACAAACUUAUUAUACCCCUCCUAUAUAAAACUGAAACAACAAAUAAUAUGUAACUAUAACUAUAUUAUCAAAAUGUAAGUAUUGAAUAAAAAUAUAUUUACUUAUUAAUUCUUUUGGUAUAAUCCAAUAGAAAAUAAAUAUAUGAAAUGUCUCAAAGUAGUUUUGAGAUUAUGAGAUCCUUUACUGAAUAAGAUCAUCCAAAAUUAAAAUGUUACAAAUUAAAAACAGCGGAUCUAGUUCCUGCUAAAUUUCCCUAUGACUUACCCAGAAACUGAAACUGAAGUUGAGAAAAAAACAAGAGUUUAGAAUAAGAAUGACUUGUUCUUGCAUAUACGUUUAUUUUUAAACUUCACAAAUCAAUAGUAUUAAGUAUUAUAGCGAGAUUAUGGUGAGUGUGAUCAUGUGUAGUAAUGAAAAGUGUAAUAUGAUUGUAGCCCUUUUGUAUGCUCAUUUUUUGGUGUCUUGUGCAUACUUUAGGUAAUAUAUGCAUCAUUUUCUCUGUAUCCACUUUCAAGGCUUCAUUCGCUGCUCAUCACCAAACAAAGUUUAGUGUUAUAUCUUUGGUGUCUCUCAGAAUUUUUCUCCUUAGAUAUUUCAUUCUUUAUCAUUUAAGCUUCUGCAGUACCAUGUCCUUUAACAUAAUCCAGAAUAAUGAUUUAUCUGACAUUUCAGUUAUUGCAAGUGUGCUUCUUAAAUAUUUCUAUUUUGUACUUAAUCUGUUUUCAUUUUGAUUUGAUUACUUAAUCCUGCAACAUGCUAAAUAAACAUCUAUAAUGCCCUUGCUUCCUUCAAAUUUCAAGCUCUCCACUUGCUAAAUCUCAUUCUUUACCUCAAAAGAUUCACUAUCUCAUCUUCUCUUACUCUCUUUUCCUUCACUCAUGCUUUUAUGUAAUCAUAUUCUACUUAAAUUGUAGUAUUUGAAAAAAAAUUCUUUCUACCUCUCCAAAAACUAGUUAAUUUGUUUUAACUUUUUAAACAUUAAAAGAUAAUGCAGUUAUAGAAUAUGUAUGGUUAUUGAGACUUUUGCAAGAAAAAAUAGAGGCAACUUUACUAUAAUCAAUUGUAUUAAACCAAACCACCCACUUUUAUUUAUUAUUGUGUCAAAUUACAUGAAGAUAGGAAAGAAAGACAAGAAAGAAAACACAAACAUCAGACUUGUUACAUUGGGAGAGGAAUGAGGCUUCCAAUCCUAAUGUUACAUUAAAGAGACAGAAGUAAACUUUGGCAAUGAAAGCUUUAUUUGUAGCAUAUUAUGCGACCAUGUUUUGUGAUGAGACUAAGGUGGUUGAUGAUGAUGGUGAACCCUUCUUUAGCUGACAGGCAAAAUGCCUCUAAGACAUGUCCAACCAUCAAGGAUAGGCCUCACAUCACCCAGAAGAACGUCAUCAUAUGCAUCUGGGGUGAAUUUCAUACGCACAUACUCAUCUCCUUUGAAAAGGUAAGCUUCAGACUCUUC